rnacentral:lncRNA from 1 species
GGGCAGAACCCUACUGAGGCAGAACUCCAGGACAUGAUCAAUGAAGUUGAUGCUGAUGGUAAUGGGACCAUCGACUUCCCUGAAUUCCUCAACCUUAUGGCUAGGAAAAUGAAGGACACCGACUCUGAGGAGGAGCUCAAGGAGGCCUUCCGAGUCUUUGAUAAAGAUCAGAAUGGGUUCAUUUCGGCUGCUGAGCUGCGCCAUGUCAUGACCAACCUCGGGGAGAAGCUUACUGAUGAAGAAGUGGAUGAGAUGAUACGUGAGGCUGAUGUUGAUGGCGAUGGACAGAUCAAUUAUGAAGAAUUUGUCAAGGUUAUGAUGGCCAAGUAAUGAUCCUACCCCUAACAAUCCACAAAGACAUCCGAUUUAAGUAAAUCUGAAAAGAACAGAACGAAGGCUUUAAUAGUGUAGUUGGUUUGGUAGCAUCUUUAUUAUCUUUUUAUCAAAUUGUUAUGGUGGAACUCUAAUGGAUGUAGUGGUGAUGUCGUUAUGGUGGUGGUAGAAGUUCUGUUUUAUUUGUGUUGCAACUUUUUUAUUACAGUAGCAGCUUUAUGAAGAUAUUUGUUUGUCUAUUACCAAUAUUGGUAGGUGUUUAACUCCUUGUAUCAACCGGAAACCCGUAGUAGUUUUCUUCUGAAGACUUGCUCUUGUUUUUCCUUUCCAUUUCCUGUGUAUCUUAUGCCCUAACGCUUUCCAUGAUGAUAAGAGAUAAGUCUUGCAAAUGAAUAUCUGCUCUAACAAAUCUUCUUAAAGGUGAGUAAGAAUCGAACUAAAAAGAACUUAAUGUCAGACUAAUAAGAUUUCAGCCUGGGUAAAUGAUCCGUGUAUUCCGAAGAUUUUCGUCUGGGUAAUCCUGUGUGCCUUCUGAAGAGUUAGAGCAACAGAAUCAUGAAGAUAGCAUUUGCAGCACAAAAAAUAAUAAAUGUUGUAGAUUUACAACACAAACAAAAAAUAAUAAAUGAUUUAAAACACAAAAAAUAAUAAAUACUUGACCACGAUCUAUGCCUUCCGAAGAUUCGGGACUGGAUAAUAAUUUGUGUCUUCCGAAGAGUUAGAGCAGCGGCACCAAGAUAGCAUUUAUAACACAAAAUGUAAUAAAUACUUGACUACGACCUAGUCCCGUACCGGAAAGAUUGUACUUAAAUGAUUUGUGAUUUUCGAAGAGUUAGAGCAGCCGAACCCAAUAAGAUAGCAAUUAUAACACAAUGUCUUCCGACGAGUUAGAACAACUGAACCCAAUAAUAUUGUACUUGACUGUGAGCCACUCACAUACCGGAAAUAUUGUAUAGCUAAAUAUUAGCCGUGAUAUACUUUCAUUCACAACUGAAACAAUUGUAUAAUAUAUUUUAUUGUGACCUACUUUCAUCGGAAACAAUAAUAUUGGAUAAUGUCAAAAAUAUUUGAAAUAUUUGUAUAACAUACUUGGUUGCGAGCUACUUUCAUUCACACUAGAAAUAUUGUAUAUAUUAUUUGACUACAUACUUCCUUAGCAAAAAUACUAUAUAACCAAUUUUGUUAUAUAUAUGUAAUCAUCUAUUUGGUGAUGGUUAUGCAACACUAUAACUUCAAUGUCGUGUUUAGUUAGGAAGAAUAGAAUGAAAUGAGAUAAUAGAGGUUGGAGCACAAUCUGAAAAAAAAUUUGACUACAACCUAGGCAAAAUAAGAAUGGGAUAAUAGAGGUUGGAGCAAAGCUUAAAAAAAAAUUUGAGUGGAGGCAAAAUAAGAGGGAAUGAAGCAUUUCUUCCUUCCCAAAUUAGUGGUAUGAUCUUGGUACAGGGACGAUGCAGGAAAUGAAAGAAGAAAUGAAAUGUGUAAAUAAAAUACCUAUAACAUAGUUCAAAAAUCAUUCCAUAUUGAUUCAUCCAAACAAACCAAACAUAACAUAAGAUACUUAUCGUACAUGCAUAAUCCACAACCGGUUUUCUGUCCGUUCUGACAUAUGAUGUCAGAACUUGCCAAAUGUAUUACCCUAAUAUUUGGAUAUAUUUCUCAGGAAACAAAAGUUGUUCUUCAAGGAGAUGAAAAAGGGAGAAGAAAAAUCUGCUCAACCACCAAGGUUCUUAUAAAUUUGUAAUAACCAAAGUACAUAUCAGAAUGACAAUUACAUUACAUAAAAAAGAAACAAGUCGAUUCAUUUCAUCCCUACACAAGAUCGGGUGGCGUUUUCCUCAUCGAUCCAUCAUACAAAUACAAGGGAAAAGAGAAUCCAGUCACUGAUGCAACUAUUUCACUUGCUAUCAUUAUAAUCUUUUCAAGCUUUUCUUUCUUGCAUCGAUCUUCUUCUUGUCUGCAUUAACCUUGGGCAACCCAACAUUUUCCUUAUUUUUCAUCACUGGCGCCAGUGAAGAAGUUGCCGAGCCACUAAUUCCCGUAUCUGUCACUGUACUGGAGGCAGCAUUUGUCGACUGGUCUUGACUUCCUUUGACCACAGUAUUAGUAGUAGGGGCCAAUGGAGAUGGCAAUGGAACUGCAGCGCCUGUUGCACCAUUCUUCUGUUCAGUGCUAAGAACUGAGGUGUUGGUCUGGCCAACAUUUAAAGCAGUGGUCGACUCAGAAAUUGCUCCAUUUUUAAACUUUGGUUUUGGCUUUAUAGCAUGACAAUCAGUGUAGAUCCUGUGGUUUUAAAAAAGCCACAUCAUAAUGCAAGGAGAGCAAAAGAGAAUUUUAUAUGUUGACAAGUACUGCCUAGUGGCAAAAGGUGUCUCUCUUCCCAUUAAGGGUCUGAGAAUCCUCAUCCCCCUCCCCCUCAAACAAAAACUAUACAAGAAAUAUGAAAUUGGUUUAAAGAUUGCAAUCAAGAUUUGAGAACCUAGAUAUCAUGUGAAUAAAAAUGCACCCAGUAAGAUGUUGAAUACUUCACUCAUUUUGAAUAAUAGACAGAACAAUAUAAGGUAUGCCUAUACUGACCCCGUUUGUCUAGUACACCCCAAAAUAAUAGUGUCUCUUGAAUAUUUUGAUAUUAUUUGUCCAUCUCUAGCCAAUACAAAGUAGCAAACUAAAUCCCAAAAUUACCCUCACUUAUUUGUCAUUUCAAUGUUGAAUUCUCUUUUUAUUGCGAGUAAAUGCAAAAAAAAUACUCCCUCCGUCCCAUCUAAUUCUUAUCAUUAUGGGACGGGGGCUCGGCACGCACUUUAAGACUCUUAAAGAGUAUAAUUCUAUUAUUUUUUAUUUUUUUUUCUUCUGAAUAAAAAUUUAACAUUUAUAUUUUUAUACAGAAAAAGAAAAUUUUAAAAAAGAGUUAUGAAAUUAUAUUUUAUAUGUGGCUUCAAAUGCGUGCCGAAUAUUGAAAAAGAAAUGCAAAGAAAUGGAUGGGACAGAGGGAGUAUGCAACUUGGGAAAAAGAUGACAUCUAAAGUUUCAAUGUGUGCCAAUUUUAUGGUGAAUGGCGUAUUAUAGGACACCGGUCUCUUUUGGUGAAAUCUUCCCACUGUCUCUUUAACUUGGGUGAGAGUCCGGGAGCAGGUGAGGUUCGAACCCUGUGACCCUUUAGAUCAAGGCAAGGCCCUGUUUCCGCCGGGGCAGCUCUCACACUCUAAUGUUGGUUAAUUUUUUACAAGAGACUAAUAAAAUGGGAUGGAGGGAGUAAUGUUUUACAUGUUUAGACAAACACAAAAAGUUACUUGCACUUAGAAAUUUACUUUUAAGCUAAAACAAGGCUGUAGGUAAACUCAGGUGUACGUCUGUUGUAGUGUAAUUUGUCAAAACCAGGAAACUUAUCUCUCACCUGGCAUAUCUAGCGUACUCUUCAUAAUCAUCAAGCAGCAUCUUUCCGGCCUGCUCAUUCAAAGCUGAUCCCGGAAAUGGUUCAAUCAGUAAGCAUCUAAUGACCUGUCCACGGAAGGGAAUAAGUUGAACAUAUCAUUAUAUAAAGCAUGCCAAGUCAGAGGAAAAGAAAUGUAAACUUAAGUACUUUGCAAUAAGUAGCAAAGAAAACAAAGUGGAUCUUUACAUCAUAAAGAAAACAAAACAUCAAAAAUCUCAUAAACUUACAAUAAGAACAUGUCUUAAGCCAAGACCAGGGUUCCAAUCCUUUUUCAACGUGUUGACACAGAUCUCACCAUUUUUUGGUGCGACGUUCGGGUGGAAAAUCUUGGUCAAAAAAUAGCCUGAAAAACAGCAUAGGCAAAGUGUUGUUCUGUAGCUCAGGAAUAAAUUACUAGAACCACGAAUGGAAGAGAACUUUUGACAAUAAACAGAUAAACAUGGGAGCAAAUUUUAUCUUCACUUCACUACAAGUAACACUGAAGCCUUAUUUUUUAUUGGCAUGUAACAGAAGUAAUGAUGAUAAGAACAAGUGCACCAAGAGGUUGUAAGAUUCAGGCAACAGUAUGAUUCCUGAACCACCAAUUCCACCACAAGAGAGUGAAAAAGUAGAUAUCUUAACCUUCAAGACAGAGACCACUAAACAAGACCAUGCAAAUGAAUAGAAAUUAAAGAAUGCAAUUGCAUUGUACUUCCAAUAUCUUUUGGGAUAACAAGCAAGUGUAAAGAAGGUCAGAAUGUAAGUUUCAACAGUUAAUGUUUUUUUAGAAGUAGAAACAGUGUAACACGAUGGUCCUAGGAUCUUAAGUACCAUAUUGACUUUUUGAAUAUAGAUCCAACAAACCUGCGGGAGGAGAAUGCGGGUAAUCAUGACCAAGUAUUAACUUCAUCCGAAAAACACCAUUGGCAUAAGGUGUCCCAGCUGCAAGACACGAGAUCCUUGAAGUCAGAACAGAGAAUUAAAUGACUCAUCGAAGGCAUCAUAAUUGAGGUAUAGUUUGUUACCUGGUCCUUCUAUAUCAGCAAAAAUGGUUGAAAAAUCAUCAUCAUUAACACCCACUCUAAUGCCCUCGGGAGGAGUUUCGUCAAGAUUUUUCAGUUCCUUGGCAAGCUGCUUUAUAACAUUCGGAGGAAGAUUUUCAUUUGUCGCCUGCAUUGGUAUGCAAAGAUAACUGUUAUAUAAUAAUUUGUAAAAGGUUUCGUGCCCUGCUACGGGCAGUACAUUUUGCCCCCAAAAGCAUACACUUCUAUGCUAGGAGCUUGACAAAGGUUUCAAGAUCCAGCCAUGGACUUCUAGAAUAAAAAAGUUAACAAAACAAGUGAAAAUGUUAUGUUUGCGGAGCAACACAACUUCCUUAUAAUGCAAUUUAGAGGGUACAAGUAUUUGAUAGUCUCAAGCAAUAACAAUGGUUUAGCAACUGUAAUUCCCUAUAUAUGUAUAUCAAGAAAACAUUCCUAUGACCCUAGGCACAAUGUCUCCAAAAUUAAUUAAGGUUCCACAAGAAAUAUAGAGCGAACUCACCAUUGCCACACAAUCAAGAAUAAACCCUCAAAGAACUACUGUUAUUCUUCUGAUUGAAACAGGACUACACAAUUUCUUCAGGGAGGGAGACAACAUACAUCAGGUCUGCGAGAUAAUCUGCGAAACAAAGGAACUGUCAUCUUUAGAGUAAGAACAAGUUACUCUGGAUAAAUAUCUCUUUUUCCAGGUAUCAGAAAUUACUUGCAAGUUGCAAUGAACUAGAAAAAAAAGAAGCUUGCUUUAGCUACUUAUUACUCCAUGUUUAUGAGCAUUCUUAACUGUGAUAAGUGCUUUAAAGUGUUAACAUAUAUCGUAAAAUCAAUUCCGCAACAAGAAGAAACCCUCAUAUCAAGCAACAAACAAAAUGGAGGAUGACAUAUUAAAAAUUAUAGGGAAAUCAAUUAGUUAUGUCAUCUAAUCACUCUAAAAACAAAUCAAGCCAAUUUGGCAUCUCCGAUUCGAAGAAACACAAUUAAACCUAAUUAUAACACCUGUAAAACAAAAUCAAUAAUCUCGAGUCGCCAAGAAAAAGAAAACCCUAAAAAGAAAGAACUUUUAUAACCCACGAAUAGGAGAAACAAUCCAAUUAGGAACUUGUCAAAUUCUCAUUGCAACAAUUCACAAUCUUUAAGAGAAAGGGCCGAUACAACUAUAAGUAUACAACAAUUCAAUCAAAAAGAAACAAACUUUGAAAUCAAGAAUCAGAACCAAAGCUGUAAAAUCAAACUGAGAAACAAACAACCCAUCAUCUAAUUUCAUCAUCUUAUAAGGCAACCAUUAACAAGAAUCACAAAUUCUCAAUCAAUUUCAAGAUUCAUAACAAACAAGACAAGAUUAACAAAACCCACAUCAGAAAUCAAGAUUUAGUUCACUUCGAAACAAAUUUCAAGAACAAUUCAAUUCACAAGAUCUGAAAAUAAAUAACCAUGAAAAAACAAGAGCGCUUACUGGGUAAUCUUGAGUGGGGGAGAGCUGCAGUAGUUGUAUUUUGUAUGUAUAGAUUUGUUGUAGAUACAAAUAAUCCUCUCUUUAGUCGCCAACGCCACGAAUAAAUCUCCUCCCUUGAAAUGAUUGAUGGGAUUUAGAAAGAAACAAAAUAAAGAAGAUAGGUGCAACAACGUUACUAUUUUCAAAAUUUUCAAUGAACAUUAGCAUGACACAUAAGUCAUUUUAUACAAUUUUUUUGUAACGUAAUUUUUAUGUUAAUUUACGUUCUUAUAGUAAUUGUUCUGGGUACAUUAUUAUGUUAUCAGGCGUAUGAUUAUUCCAUAUCUUUUACCGCAUUUCCUAUUCUUCUUUGCUCGCUUCUCAGUUGUUUCUAUGAUUAUUAUUGACAAUCAUUAUAUAGAAAUUGGUCAAAAUUAUACAAAUUUUGACUAAUUUGUAAAAUAUUAUAUAAUUAAAAGUAAUUAUAAAAAUUCUAUCUGUGACAUUAUUAUAUUUUCAAUUUAUUAUAAAUAUAAAGGAGCAAAUUAAAAAUUUUGAUUAAAAUUAAGUCAAUUUUUAUUAUUUAAAAGGAAAAAUAUAAGUGCCGCUCGCAUGUAAAAUAAAAUCAAAAUCAGCGUAUUCUGCCAUUAAAAAAAAUGUAUAGAUUGCGACCACAAUCACUCAACCAAACUCUUGGGCUUGACAAGCAAAAACAAUGAAUGACUAGUAGCAAGGUAAAACAGAUUCCCUAAUCAAAACAUAAUGAUUGCUUUCGAUAUAUAAUAAUCCGAUAGCAAAACCCACGCACAUAUUUUCAUUGCGCUCCGCGCCUAUGACCAUGACGGGUGUGAAUGUGAUAUUGUCGAACAAAAUAAUCUGAAAUAUCAAUCAGACAUAAUUUCAUUUCAAAUUAUUGAAAUUUAUAAUAAAAUAACUACACCUACUUUCCAGUUUCCCAAAAAAAUUAAUAUAACAAUAACACUUAUUAAGUAUACCAUACAUAUUUUUCAAAAACUCUGUAAAAUAUACGGAGUACCUUUUAUUUACUAAUUUCAAAGCCGGGGAACUUAGAAAUACUGUAUCAUUUAAAAAUUGAUAUAAAUCGGCUUGGAAAUACUGUUCAAACUAGGACAUAUUCCCUUCCCCGUCCUUUUUGUUUUUUUAAUAAGCAUUCACCUCCGUUUCUUGAUUAGGUGCAGAGAAAGAAAAAGAAAGAAAAGAAACGAAAUUGAUUAUUUCCUAAUGUGCCACAAUUAUUUUUAAUUAGGAGAAGAAAGAUUAGGUAGGGAUUCGAUAUCCAGAAACUUGUCGGGCGAGGUGAAGUAUUAUAUUGUGAGAAACUUGAGCAGCGCUCGGUGACCGUUAUAAAUUAGGCCUCUGCUUCUUUCUGGCAUUUAAGUAGCCGUUAGCUGUCCCACAGACACUCUGUCACCAACGUUCCAAGCCUUCUUUUAUUUACUCGUCCUAUACGAAUUGUUAUUUGACAUGAUUUGAACCUGAAUCUGCUGCCUUUAUUUCUUGCUUCUACGGAUCUCAGCUCUCAAUGAUUGUGGGACACCAAUCAAUAGAGUUUUCAGAAAUAUGUCAAAUUACACUACCGACUGGUCUCUCUGCACCUGAAGAGAAUCCAAAGUUUACCAGUUUGCUACAAUUAUAAUAAAAGAUCAUAUAAACAUGUCUACAUUAAAAUGUUGUACAUCCUCAAGCUCAAACUACUUGGUUCUUUAAAGAUAGAUCCACUAAAGUAGAUGCAAAUGGCUGACAGCUGGAACAAUGUAAAGUAUAAUUAUUUUCAUAUAAGCAUACUGCAACUGAUUACGAGGGCCAAUAAAGCAGCAAGAGACCAAAACAUGUUUUUAGGAUGGACAAGAACAAAAUUAGUUCAGCAUAUGUGAUAUAUAUUGUUAUUUACCUUUGUCUAAGAAUAUGGUUAAACAUAAUUAGCAAAAGAAAAAUUAGAGUAGUUCAAUACUACUUCAUGAAGGCCGGUAGUUGGGAAAACAUUUAACAGAAAGAUAUGCCAGCAAAAUUAGCAUUAGGGAAUUCAAUAACAGGGCAAAAGAAUUGAAAUUCAACAUUUUUGUUUAAACACAGAAUUGUGCAAAAGUAGUUCAGACUUUUCAUUUCUUCUAAACGUGCUACCCUUGGGUUUGUAAUAAUUCAUAAGUGUCUAGAAAACUGAGUUUAAUCAAGUCGAUUUCAUUCCCCAGUAACUUUAGCGACUUUACUACACCAAACUUGAUACGGCAAGUAGAAACAAUCAAAAUCAACAAAAUUUGAUCUAAAUUUUAAUCUCAGGUAACUCUGCUGCUAACAGUCUGAUAAAGUGACCUCAGCUGCAUAUUCCAUUUCUCUAUAGCAGCAUAUUUUUUCAUUCCCUUCGACCUGGAUGUAGAUGUUCUAUAGUCAAUAUGGAUAUAUAAUGCACAAAAAGAGAAUGUACAAUCUAAAGAAGAAAGCUGACCUGUCACCACGCUCCAAAAGUUUAUUCACUUGAUCAAUAUGCCCUUGUAUUCGAUUAUCUAAUAUAAGUGACACCAACAGCUGUUCAACAUCUGCCUCUGGCACAUUCAGCUCCUGUGUGAUGAAGAAAAUUAAUCAAUACUACUUCUUGGGAUUUGAUAAAUAAUAUUCAAUUUUAUUUUCAUGCAUCCCCUUGGCUACUGAAAAAGACCUAAUAGAAAACACUUGGCUUGCAUCAAUAACAGUUUUAUCCACCAGACAUUUUGCGAAAAAUAUAUAUAAAAUACUGUAAAAAAUAAAUCAAAUAGCAAGUAUUUUGAAAUCAAAAUAUAAAAAAGAUUCAAUAGACGCAAGAGUUUAUAUAUAUUGCAGAUUACAAGAUCUUUUCAAUAGUCAUCUAGUCAAUGAUUACGAUGUCAUAACCAGAUCACAUAAGUAGGCGCCAGGGACAUACUUGCGUGUCGUGCAAAACGAACAGGGAUGUAAGCAAAUACAUUCAUUUUGUAUCAAAAAACUUAAUAAACAGAAAAAUGGCAGGACAUCAGAGUUGUGUCUAUUUAACACGUGAUGUAUUCAAAUCGUCCAACUUAAUUUAGCAUAUAUCCCAUAUUAGUGUUGUAUGUGUAUAUUCAUGUAUAUGUCCAGAUAAUGACAUCAAGUUUGUAGUAAACAUAAGAAUAUUGUGACAUUGUGAUAUAUAAAUGAUUGAUAGGAGCAGGACCUAGCUGAUUAGCAUAGCAAAAUAUUGAAAGAAGGUCUUCCCACCUUUGAAAUAAAAGGGAUUCUGAUCCUUGUGUAGGGUUUGAUGAGCUUAAGCAAGACUUGGGUUCUGAUAUUUUUCAAGAGGUCCUCAAUGUAAUUUCUAAUGAAAGGAUCAUCCAUAAUGGUUCUCCUGUUACUCUGCAAAGAACAAGUUUUCAAUAUGAACUCCCUUACAAAAGCAAAAAGUUCAAUACUUGGUAACUAAACAAACAUAAAUAAGCAAGUGUACCUUAACAAUUUUCUCAAAUUCCAAUAUUUCAUUUCUUUGAUAGGCCGCAAUUAAGUUUGUCAUAGCCAGUAUUUCAGGAUCAUUUUUGUAUCUGCAAAUACAUGGAAACAACUCAAUCACAAUGUAAAACAUAGGCAGAUAAUGCUGAUUAGUUGUAUAAAAACUAUGACAUACGGCUUGGCUUCUUGCCCAUCAAAAGGAUUAACUUGAGACUCCAUUAGCAUGUUGGCCAGCACCAGGUAUCUGUGGAGGUAUAAACAAGCUUCAAAAUCAGUAAAUUAAAAAAAGACUGAACACUUAGUUUCCGCCAAUAUUUCUUCUCAUUAAUACAAUGUAGGAGGACCUUACUGAAGCAUCACCAAUUUCCUUUAGUGCCAGAUUUCAGAAAGCAUAGAAAGUUUCAAUCCUUUGCACAAGGGGGGGGGGGUAAUAUUUUUCUUUUUGAUAUAAAAUUUUAAAUUUAAAAAGAAGCGCUAAUUUUAAUGACUAAAUACAUGUGUAGACAUACUUUAGGCAUUGGAUACGCCGUUGAUUCCCAGCUUCAUCAUAAUUCUUAAAAGCUUCGAAAAAAUCUGUGGCUGCUUCUGCCCACUGGCGCUCUGCCAUAUGCAUUUUGCCGCCACAUUCAUGAAUGAUGCCCAUUAUUCUUGGAUGUGGUAUUGCUGAUUUAAUUGCAAGUGCUUUUUGGUACAGUUGCUGUUAUAAAGUCAGCUUACUUAGAGGAUAUAGAUACACACACAACAAAACCUUACAGAUAAAAGAAAAGAUGUCCAAUCAUGCAGCAUACACAACAUCUAGUACAAUUACAGUUAUUAUAUAAACACACAGAUGAUAAUUAUAUCAUAGUAUAUUUAAAAUAAACCAAAAAAUAUAUGUAUCUGUCAUCAUCAAACAACACAUGUACUAGUUAUACCAUCCCAGUAAGAGUGCAUGGGGUAAUAACUAUAUUUUAUCUUUCCAUAACAGUACACAAAGAAGGAUCUUUUAAAUGGAUGUUCACAUUUCCUAUAUGGAGCUACUUAUGUUUUUCACCUGUUUUCAAGUAGAAGAUGUAUAUACUAAAUAGUAAAUAUCCACAUUCUUUUGAAAUUGAAUUUAUGUCAUAUGCCCUCGCAUUACAAGCAAUAUGAAAGCCUGACAGGUUAUCAUGUCUGGAAUAUGUUUCUAGGAGGAAUGAGAGAACCGUAGCCAAUAAAAUUAAAAAGGACCACAAAGACAAUAAAUAACAUAUCAACACCGUGCAAACAAAUAUACACCAACUAUGAAAAGACAAUGGCAUAUUUUAGAGUUAGACAGUGAACAGAUUGUAACCGUCAGUUCGUCCUAUUAGGAUGCAAAACAAACAUCCAAGUUGUAGGCAAUCAAUAUUUCUCACCUUGAGCUUCUUGUUAUUUUUGGUUUCAGUGUACAUUUGAAUCUCAAUAGCAUAUACUUCCAAAAGUUGGGUCCCUUUCUUUUGAUCAUCACUGCCAUCAGGCUUCUGACAAGACUUGUGGAGUUCCUUCAAAAUCUGUACAAUUUGCAACAUAGUUCAGGAAUAAUAAAAUCCAUUUCAAUGAAAGCCAAGGGAAGUAUGAAAGUCUAGUCUUUACCUUGUUCAUUCUACCAUACUCGCCCAUGUCGAACCAAAUUUUGCAUAGCUUGAGAUUUGUCUUGAACCACAACCUCUGCAUAGACAGAAAAUAUAUAGUGAUAUCCGUAAAAAUGUUCAAUUCAGUGUUAACAGUAUAUAUAGAUAGGCUCCAACCUCAUUUUUAGCCUCUUCAAGAGACCUCAAAGUGGUCUCAUAGAACUCCUUCAGAAGCCCAAAAUUCUGGCUAGCUGACCCGGAAACAAAAUCCAUGAUAUUGUUUAUACACUUUUCACUAUAGUUCCUUGUCACAGCUGAUUUUAUGUAGGUCAACAUCACCCUAUAGGCUUCCAUCAUCUCUUUAUAACUCCCAAGACGAUAAUGAAGUUUGACAGUCUGUUUGAGAGCUUUAAAUCCCCUGCAGAAGCGGAAGAGAUGAAUCAUAUACAAUGUGAUAAUAUUAUUCCCACAUUGAAGCAACCAAAGUAAAAAGUUACUUUGUACAUGAGAAAAAUGAUAAACGAGCAACAACUGCUACACAUCGCAAUUAUAUAGUCUUUGCAUGAAAUACAUCUAUGAGAACAUUUAACAUACAAACUGAAAUCCAUCAUCACAACCUAUUAUCUAGCAGAAAUAACACAAUUAAAUGCAACAUAUAAUUCAAGUUCACUUUAACAAAUCAACACUCGGAAAUUUCCUAUAUUCACAGGUGGGUUGGACAUAAGUAACAUGUUAAAAGAAAAUAGGAAAUGAAAUUCCAAACUCAAUAAGCUUACCAUUCUGCCUUUUCUGGUUCCAUCUCAACUACCUCAGCAAAACCAGCAAGGGCACCCUCCGGAUCAGUCUCAACCAAACCUGCCAAGAUUUUAUGACUAGUCAAUUUCAGAGGUUCGUACAUGCUGAACAUACAUAGCAUGCCAUGUACACUAUACAGUGCAUUGACGGUAGCACGAACAUCAAAUAGAUUAAAUCUAAUCUUCUAUAAGGUGUCAUAUAAAUUUUAAAAGUCACUUCAAACAGUCGAAGGUGUAUUCAUAUUAGAUAUAAGUUACUUCGAAGCUCAGAAUGAAGGUGACAGCGUUACUUUGAUGUGUCGUGUGAAUGCCUCUACGAUUCAAACUAAGAUGAACAACAUUCAAAUUGAACCCAUAUAACUUGAAUCAGCUCUUUGCAUGUCAAUAUAAUUGUAUUAAUUAGUGUUUCAAGGUCUCUUUAGUCUGCUAUCUAUUUUUUUUCCAUCUCCAGCCUUUUCCCUUAAUGUGUCAGUUAAUUCUUGCAUAAAUUUCAUAAGUAGAAAACAUCUUUGUAGGAUUAAAAUAAAAGCCGAAUACAGACCAGAUUCUAAACAUUGUAAUAAAGAUCUACACUGUAUAUACUCCAAUAGUCCACUACUAACUCAAAAGGUGGUACAAUAAUGUUUUCUCAUGUUGUGCCAGUUAACUUACUACUGAUACUGAAAGAAUGGUCAACUGUCAACUGAAUUCCCUACAUGGCACAGUGUGUCAAUUCUUUAUCAUAAAUUAAUCGUGUUCCUCGUCAAUGCUCUAGCCGUUAAUAGAUCUUUUAUUCUGUCUUUUUCCUUUUCUAGAUCUAAUUUAAUCUGAAAGUCCAAUUUUUCAUCUCUCAAAAUUUGCCAGACUGAAUGAUGUUCGCUUAUUUAAAUAUCACAUCUAUGCACUUGAUGCCUGUGUUGCUCUGACGGGGUACGAAGUGUGAGACAUGACACAUAUUCGAGGGUCGGACUCUAAAAAUCUGAAAAUUGGGCGCACAGGGGGACAUUGUCCUCUUUUUGGACAAGUUCGGAGACACAACAUAAAACAUUAAUUAACAAGUAUGCUAAAUUAGAUACCAUAACAAAACGUUUCAUGCAAAUUCAUAUUAAACACAAUUUUGCAAAUUAAGGAUAUUAUCUACUUGUAUUUUUACUUUUGCUUCUUUCGCGAUCAAUUUUUUGGUUUGCAUUGUAAGUUCAACUUAUAUGUGGUAUUUAAGUUAAUCAAGGUGUCCCCAUGUUAGUCAGAAUAUCCGAUAAGGAUUAAGUAUCGUGUCCGGGUGUCCAAGUGUCGGACACGGGUAUGGCUACCCAAACUGAAGAGUCGGAGUAAAAUAGCAUGACGCACGGCCCCAAAACUCCACGCCACUGCCUUUACAUCAAGCUUUGGUCACACUUUGUGUCACUUAGCACACAAGCAAGCGCAUUAGCUCUCUUCCAAAAAGUAUAUUUAUAACAAGUUAACAACUGAUUUACAAGAUCCUAGGUUAAAGAAUAUCUUCAUCGACGAAAAAUGGAUAACAAAGAUAGGCAGCAGAUUAUUGAGGUGAAUAAUGCCAAAUAUCAAAUAGAAAAACAAUAAAUUAGCUUGCACAAAAUUGAACAUAUAUCGUACCUAAGCUUCUAUUGGCAAAGAAAAGUAUUUUAAUACAGAAGAAUACAUUUACUCCAUAAUACAGUAGACUAUAAAUAUACAUCCACAACUGUAAUUACUCCCACUGUCCACAGCUCUAUAUUAUCCAGAAACUAAAAAAAAACUUAAAAAGUUAUACGGACAAAAUUCUAAAACUGCAUAAAACAUACACUUAUCCUAUAACAAUCGAAGAGGAAACUUUAAAAAACUACAAAUCCUACAACUAAACGAAAAUAAAUGGAGGAGCAAUAAAAAAAAAGGUAUAUCAUAGCCAAAUUUGGCAAGGGCCAGGCCUAUUCCCCACUGCCCCUAACUCCAUCAAUGAGGUAAAAUUACAAUCUGAGUAUUGCCAGUGCGAUUACUAGUAUUACUUAAAUAAUAUCCGGUCAUAAAUAUUUACGUGAGCAUCAAUUUCAGAUCAUAACUUAACUUGGAUCCUUUCCGGCAUCUGGUAGUAAAAUUUCUUUUCCGAAGUAUCAGUUGUACUCAUCACAUCUAUACUAUCAAAUUAGCAGUAACUCGAUAUUUCUGGCAAAAACAGCAAGAUAGGUCCAAACAAGCAUACCGAAGCAUAUAUCGUGAAAGACGGUGUACCUUUGGAAUUGUAGUACUGAUUCUCAAUAUCAACAUCCUGCUCUUCAGCCUCCUCUUCGGAGUAUUCAAAUCCAUAAUCCUCCAUAUCAGCAUCUAAAAACAUAAAACAAAAACAUAAAAUCUUAAAUCAUUACUUUACCGCGUCAAAAGAAACCGAUGCACAUACACAACUUGAAAUAAUACAUAUAGCGCAAACACAAUCGUAGAUGUUAAUUUGUUGCUUAAAGCAGAUUAAACCGAGAUUAGUAACUCGAACGAAAAAAAACCGUAAUGAGAUUUAUCGAUUUGGUUAACCUGAGCCCAUGAUUAGCGACGAAGAUUGGAGACAGAGAGUUGCGGAUCCUGCUCGGAUUUCAAAUUAGGGUUUUGCUUUGUGAAGGUACUGAUGAUUAGAUGACUGGUUUCUGAUGAUAUAUGUAUCGUCUCGUGUACUGUAUCUAUACAAGUAUCUGUAUGUUUUUUCCUUUUCCUUUUCUUUUUUGUAUAGGCAAUUAAGAAAAAAGGACCCCAAUAACACAAUUUUGGAGUUUAAUGCCCUGAAUAACAAAUUUUAUAAAAAUGGCCUCAUCUGACCAGUAAAGACGCUUGGCUAUUAGCGUUUAAUGUAAAGGAGCAACGCUAAUUCGUUUAGCGUUUUUGAAGUACACACCAGGGUCUAGUCUUUCAUUUAUGUUCGACGGUCAAAGAGGGCUAAGAAGGUUCCUGACUGUGGUACUGGUUCACAUAGGGGAUGAUGAUAUUUGUCGGUUUUUGAUGACAUUCUAGUUAUAGGAUGCUGAACUUGUGAUAUAUGAUAGCACGGAUCUUGUAAAUAUUUUAAUUUCAUGUCGUAUGUUUAUGUUUUAGUAUAGCGUUAAAGUUUUAAUAAUUACAUUGGCCGACGGUUAGGGUUUAGGAUCGAGGGUGUAGGGCCGGUAGGCCCUACUCCCUCGAGCCUAAACCCUAAUUAAGCGAGGCUGAAGGGCCGAAGGCCCUGAAGCCGAGACGUCGGCGGAAUGAUAAUUUUAUAACCGUUAACAUUUAGGGUUUAGGUUUGGGUUUUAGAAAGAUUAAUUCAUACUGUAUAUAAAUUGGCCGACGGUUAGGGUUUAGGAUUGAGGGUGUAGGGCCGGUAGGCCCUACUCCCUCGAGCCUAAACACUAAUUAAGCGAGGCUAAAGGGCCGAAGGCCCUGAAGCCGAGACGCCGGCGAAAUAAAUUAAUUUACAAUCAUUAAUUUUUAGGUUUAGUUUUGGGUUGCAGAAUGAUUAAUUUGUACUGUAAAUUAAAUUUGCCCUAAACACUCGAGACUAAACCCUAAUUAAUUGGAGUAACUAGUCUAAUAAAAAUGUGAGACCAAGUAAUAUUUUUGAUGUUUGAACGAAAGUUUGUACAAUUGGUCUUGGCAAAUUGAAAAAGCCCAUCACUAAAAGCCCAACAAAAUUGAAGUGUGGAAGUUUGAGAAAAAAAUUUAAAAACGCUGAACGAAGUGGCGUUUUAGUGUAAAUUCAAUAAUAAACAAAUAGAAACGAUAGAUGAAGCAGCGUCUCUUGCUAAACUAAAACAAAGACGCCAAGUGAAGUACCGUUUUCCAGUUUUAAAAUAUAAAAAAAUGAGCUAAACGCUACACGAUGUAGCGUUUUUGUUUUUUUAACAGAAACGCUACACCAGCAGCGUCUCUAUUUGUCAUUGAGGGCCAUUUUUCGGGUAUUUGAUAUUUGAGGCAUUUUCACCCUAAAUUUGGUUAUUUGGGGCCGAAACCCAAUUAAUUUCCUAUUCGUUUAUUUUAAUCGCAAUUUUUUUAUGUUUUGGCUUCCCUUCCGGUAAUGUCAUAUAUUUUGGAAGAAAAGACAUAUUUAAACGACAUUUGGAACGAAUAAGUAAAGAAAUAAUUUUUUUCAAAACAGAAUAAGUAAAAAAAUAAUAAUUAGAACAAAAAUUAUCGAUAUUAUCUUAUUUUGGAAGCUAAUUAGUUUGGAAUAACGAUUUUUAUUACUACCUCUAUCCCGUUUAUUUUAUACAGUUUCUUUGUAAAGCAUCUCACUAGUCAUAUACAUUUUCAAACUAGUAAAAUUUUAUAAUAUAUAUAAAAAUUUAGACACCUUUCUACUUUUUUCCACUACUUUCACUUUAUACAUUAUAUAUAAGUGGUCCCACCGCAUCUUGGAUAAUUGUCAAUUUAUUAGUGGAAAAAACUGUGUCUUGGAUAAUUUUUUUGAGAAAAUAAUGGUAUUGCAGGUGAAAGUUGCAAAAUGCAUAUGAACAACGUCAUUUUGAACAAAACUCAAGUUAAUUGAACUUUGUUCACUAAAACAACCCAAUUUUGGAAAAAAAAAUGUUUUGUUUUGUGAACUUGAAUCGAGUUUAAUGAAUGUUCGAUUCAAGUUUUGCUCGUUUAAUUAGAAUUGAGCCGAGUUAAGCUCAAACUCGUCUAAAUGGAUUUUGUUUCGAUAAAUUUUGUAUAUAUUUUCAAAAUUUAAAAAAUAUAAAAUUUUCAAAUAUUUUAAAAUAAAAUUUUUAAAUUAUCAUCACUAAUGAAAACUUGACAUGAAAGAUGAAAUGAUACACAAUGCAAUGCAAGUACACGUGUGUAUCUAACUUGCGGUUGGAAUGUAAAUGUACGAAUACAAUGAUUUUUAUAUAUACUGAUCUGGUAUACUCAAUUUUAAAUUAUAUUAUAUUAUUUGCACUGGUAUUGGUGAUUUUAUCAUAAGGUGAUACUUAAAUGAAUAUAAGUUAUAGUACAUUUUAUAAAUGAAAAUUGACCGAAUAAACAUUUUAUGUGAUUUAUUUAUGAAAAGCUCCACUCGAAUUGUGUAUGAACAAACUUAUGUUCGCCUCCUUAACAAACGAGUCGGAACAUCACAUUUUGUCCGAUUGAAAAACUUAGAUUGGCUCAACUCAUUUGAGAUCAGAGUUAAAACCGACUCUGUUCAAGCAAAACUAUAUCCAUUUGCUGCAAAGGCGUUCAAGGCCGUAGUUACAUUAUAUCAUCCAAAUUCCUAUCCAUGUCAAUGAGCUCCCUUGAAAGACCAAAAAUAACCCACUGGACACACUCUUUUCUUUUUGGCUUAAUAAUAUGCAAGGUGGGUACCCUGUCACAAUUUAUCUGUUCUUAUCCUCACUUCUUAAAAUAAAUAUUAUAAUCAUAUUUUCGUCAAAGUGAGAUAUUUUGAUCACAUAUUUGAAAAGAUUGGGUGACAAACCCUGGUGUUGAUGACAACAUUUCAUAUAUUUAGCAAAGAAAAGAAAAUGUAAUACAUCUUCAUGGUCAAAAUCAUAAAUAAUACAAGAAAGUUAAAGAGCCAGAUUACAGCUUAUGAGCUUAACAUUCAACAAUGGACCCCAAGGACAACUAUCAAGACAAAUAGAAAGACGCAUAUCUUUGUUUUACAAAAUUUAAUCUGCAUCCAUUUCUUCAAGUGCCGCCUGUGCUGCUGCCUUGGCUUCUUCUAAAAGCUCAUCUGGAACCUAAAUUAUAAAAAAGCGUAUAAAAAAUCUACACAAGACACCAAUCCAAUCAAAUUGCAACACAAAAAGUAAUUAAUAUGACUUGAUCAUCAUGUAGACAGAAAUGAAAGAAAUCAUAAUCCACCUUAGUGCUAUGCCAGUCAUAAAUGUCGAACAUUUCUACCAGAAAAUAAGCCUAAGACUUUCUUGGACUUGCAAAUUAGGGUCCUUACAAUAAAUAACCUAAUAUUUCAGCCCCUUUUACACAAACAUCAUUAUACUGAUUUACUUUGUCUCCACCUUCGUUGAUGCACUGAAUGAUGUUGACAACGUAAAUCAUAUUAUAAGCAAGGUUCUAAAGAUCAGCUCAGGCGCUAGGCGAAGAUUAAUCCAGAAGCAUUAAUUGGAGCAUUAAAGAUAUGCAUCAUAUUGCAUUUUAAUAUAUUCAAAAAGAUUAUAACCAAAACAUUUGAAUUAAAUUAACCUGCCCAACUACAUUGGUUUAAUCUAGCAACUAAUUCGUAUUAUUUUAGAAAAUAUUACUACGAACACAAGGUACAGAGGAUAACAAGAAGUUGAAAAUGUACCUUCUGAUGCUGGCGUUUUGAUUCAUCACAAACCCAACUCAUUUCUAAUUCAAAGGCCUUGUCUUUGGCCUCAUCAUGUACUCCAUAAAUUCUGCUCAACCGCAUCAGAAAUAACCAAAACUCAAAAAUCAGAAACUAGAAAGACAAAAAAAAAAAACCUUUAAAUUAGUAUGAAAACAUGAGAUCAAAUUUGCCUUUUUUUUAGAUACAAAAUUUAUAGAAGAAAUUUUAACAUACACAUCUAUGAUCUAUAUGAUUCCAACACUGAAAAGAAACUUACAUUUUAGCCACUUCAAUGAUGCCUUGUCGGCAGGUCAUUUCAGAUAACUUCAAUUUUUCGAUUUCUCUGUGGAAUAAGUAUAAUUUAUGGGAUACGUAAGAAAAUUAUAACUCGCCGAAGCAUAUAUAAAACCAAGACGAGCUUGCAAUAAGAUGCAAUAUCUGAACCCCAAACUCCAAAGAAUUCUUCAGCAAGAUAUAGAGCUUGUUUGUGUCUGGGCUUAAAGCUUGGGCUUUAAGCCAUUUUCGACUUUAAGCUGAAAAAUGUCUGUUUGUGUAAUAAGCCAGAAGUAUAAAGCUAGAAAUAAGCCAGAAACUGACUUAAAACCAGAAGUCGGUUUGAGGUACUUUUUUCAGUGACUUAAUUUUUUUAUAUCUUUUUUUGAUAAAAAUUAUACAUAAGACAUAAGUUACCCAUAAAUCAUUUUUAUUUUUAUAUUUAUAUUUUAAUAACUCACAAGUCACUAAUAAGUCAAAAUUACCAAACAAACAUUUUAAACUUCCAGCUUAUCACAUAAAUCACGUUAAGUCAUAAGUCACGUUAUGUCAUAAAUCAUAAGCUCAGCCGAACGGGCUCAUAGAGAGACAGUCAAUGGCUUUAGAAAUGGUGGAGACACUUCUACAUACUUCUCUAAACUUUUAGAACAAAAGCAACACUAUAGUGGAUUCAGAAAAAACAUAUAUUUUCCACAUUCUACAAGGUAUGGACAAUCACAAAAAAAAAAUGAAAACAUCGACUACAAAGCCAGUGUAGACCAUGAUGCUGACAAUCAUACUUCAGCAGGCUAAGCAGGUAAGCAAUAGCCUAUAGUUGGUAUAAGGGAAACUGCUAGGUGCUAAUAUCAAAGUGCAGUAGAGGAUUCAGCUGAAGGGCCAUUUAAAAACAUAUGAGGCUAAGUUGCCUAUGCUGUGUAUGGAAAGGAUCUUACCCAAGUAAGGGACUAAGGGCAGAUAAAACGGCUUAAAAAUUUCAAAUUAUCACAUUAAGCUGAAAAUGGUUCAGGAUUUGGGUGAUUAAAUGAGAUUUUUGGGGUCCGUCUACUGUUUAAGCAACCAUUUUUUCAUGUUUUUCUUUAUUCACAAGGAAAUCAAUUUUAGAUAUUAACUUCCUCUUCAUAUGAUACAAAAGCAUUAAUAUACACAUUCCUUUUAAUAUCUCAUAACUGCAUCCAAGACCUCUUCAACAUAACAGACAGACAGGCACUUCAUGAAACAAGUUCACAAAUUAACACAUGAUAAUUGUUUUAAACUCGUACUUAAAAAAAAUUGUUGAAAAGACAAAAGCCCGACUCUUAGUUAAAAUAGUAGUCGGUAGAUGCAUGUUUUAUUUCAUAUUCUUGACACAGCAGAUAGGAGACUAGUUAGUAUUAGGUUGUGUGAUACUCACAACAAUGUAACGAGGAUUACCAAGUACAUUGUACAAGCCAAUCUCCAUACAUUAAUAACUAGAUGCCUUGUAACCAUGCUUAUUAAGUCGACAAGUCGAGCCUCGGCGCCCGGACACCUUGGAAUCGACUAGUCGACAAGUCGCCCGACUAGUCGAAAUAAGUCGACAAAUCGUGAUUUCAUUUUAUAUAUAUAUAUAUAUAUAUAUAUAUAUAUAUAUAUAUAUAUUUAUAUUUAUAUAUAUUUAUUUAGUAAAGAUUAUAUAAUAUAGAUAAAAAUUAAUUAUUUCAUAUUUCAAAUAAAAAUAAGAGACAUAAGUUCACAUAAAAAGUAAGGGACAACAAGUGUAUUAGAGGCGGCUGUGUAUGGUGUUUGUUCAACUUCUUCAUCAUAGUCCCUGCACAAAUUUAGGACAGGACAUUGUUAGUUGGAAAACAGAAUACUUGGAAACAGAGUAAUAAGGAAACAGGAAACAGAGUAAUAAAAUAUGCAGAAGAAAUAGAGCAACCCCCUUAUCAAUUGCAAAAGAUCAUAUUAAAAACAAGUGAAAAUCUUUUUAUUGAAUAUGAAUAAAAAUUAAUUAAAAAUAAUUAUUAAAUAUUUUUAAUUAAAAAAACAGGAUAGAAAAAAUAAAUAUCAAUAUUUUUUAAGUAAAAUAAAACUAGAAUGUAUCUUUUUUAAAUAAAAGAUAGAAAAAAUAAAUUAUAAAUAUGAAUAAAAUUUAUUUAAUAUUGAAUAAAAAAUAAAUUAAAACGGUUUUUAUAAAUAAAACUAAAUAAAAUAAAUAAAUAUCAAAAGUUUUUAAGUAAAAUAAAUAUACAAUGUAAUUUUUAAAAUAAAAAGAAAAAAUAAAUUAUAAAUAAAAAUAAAAAAUAAUUAAUAUUAAUACAAUUUGAAUAAAAGUAAAAUGCAGAAUUAAUUUUUAAAAGUAAAAAAUUCAAAAUGAAUGUUAAAAACUACUUAUAUAGGAUACGUGUCUAGUAACACUGCUAGCCACGUACACAACCACAAAAAGCAACAAUAUAUACGCACAACAGUGUGUGUAUAUCAAGCCAUCGGAGUCGGGCCAAAUAAAAGUAAAAAAAAAAGAAAAGGAGAUGAAGAGAGAGGAGAAAAGAAAGAGAUGAAAGAGAGGAGAGAGGCGAAAGAGAUGGAAAAGAGAGAACUUACCGGAAAAGAGAGCUCCGCCGGAUGAGUUCUGCUUGACAACUCCGGUGAUGUUUCUAGUCCCAAAUCCAGUGUAAGUAUAGUUUGAAAAACCCUAACGGGUCGGGUAAAAUUUGAUUGGACCGGGUCGAUACCGGGUCGGGUCGGGUUUUACCCAUGGACGACUUAUAUUCCCAGUCGCUACUCGCCUUGUUUUCUCAGGCGACUUUACGACUAGUCGUCGACUAAUCGGCGACUCAAUAACCAUGCUUGUAACAUUGAAAUUUCUUCCAGAAAUCAUCCACAAUAAUAUCUAAAUAACUCAAGCAUCCUCAUCAAUCUGGGUAAAACUAAUAAAAUAAAUCGAUUCAACUGCAUGUAACUGGUUGCCGUACAGUGAUUAGAUAAAACCAAAAAAUUCAACGACAAUCACUUCUUAUAAUAUACUUUACCCAGACAAAAAUGUAAUCAUGGGUUAAUAGAUGCACAGAAGCUUGUAUUAAUAUCUAAAUAACUCAAGCAUCCUCGUAACUCUGGGUAAAACUAAGAAAAUAAAUCGAUUCAACUGCAAGCAACUGGUUGCCAUACGGUGAUUAGAUAAAACCAAAAAAUUCAACGACAAUCACUUCUUAAUAUACUUUACCCAGACAAAAAUGUAAUCAUGGGUUAAUAAAUGCACAGAAGCUUGUAUUGAAUCACCUUAAGUAAUAAAAAAAUAGGAACAACAACUUACGUCUUGGCAGCCUGCCUGCCUUUUCCAAUAGCAGCACCAUAGUAUUUCUGUAACAAAUGCCAGAAAUAAAAAGAAAAUAAAAUAAAUACAACGCAAAAUAUUAUUAAAAAUUGAUGUGAACAAUCGGCGCUCUAGUAAAUUUAAGCUGGCGAGUACAACAGAGAACUGCUCACCAGUCACCUCUAAACUACUGAUCUUAAUUCUUAUUCAAAUAUUACAAAACGACACCCAACUUACAUAAGAAACUCCUGAAGGUUCAAUCAUGUAUAGUUGUGGUCCAUCUCUGUCAUAACCACCAAGAAUCACUCCACAGCCAAAUGGCCUGCAAUAGCAUAUGUUAGUGUUUCACAUACCGAAAAAUUAAACAAUUAAGGAAACUCACAAUCUGGACUAACCUGAGCCACCAAUAAAGUGUACACAGAUGCACAUAACUAGCAACACGCUCGCACAAUUCUUUCACCGGAAUUUGGUCACCAUACAAGCUGCAAAACCAACUCAAAAUAUAUUAACCUGGGCAAUAUUGCUCCAUAUGUAAUUCAAAUUUAAUGGAAGUCGCCUAAUUUAAAUAUAAGUGUCGCGUCAUUUUUGAUCAACCAAAUAUGAUAAUCAUUUAUAUAAAAAAUCUUAAAAACUUCACACAUACUUAUGUAUUAUGAGUUUAUCUAAGAACGAAUUAUUGUUUCCAAGAAACAAUGCAUAUAUAUAUUUCACCUAAUGCAUAUAAUAUUUGAACAGAAUCCAUUUUUUUUUUUUUUUGAAUAAGCAAUACAUUACUGACCGACUAAACGAAAAUUACCAAAAAUAUAAGCAAAUGAUAAAUCUGCAUAAAGGUCCGGGUGCAAAUAAAUAUAAAAGAAACAGCGGUUACACUUGAAUUUGGGUGGUUGUGUAUGCUUCUGCAGAUAAAGGUAGUUCUUAAAUAAAGGUAAAGUAAUGCCGCUAUGUCUGCAUCUUGGUUAACCAGUAAAACACAAAAUUCACAUAUAAGUUCUGUGACACAAAUGUGUGAGCAAUAAAAAUACCUUUCAUAGUUGUUAGCCUCAGACUUGGCUCGUGCAACGAUUUGUCUCCCAUCUGCGGCUAAUCCUGCAACAGCCUGCAAAUAAAUGAACACCAAAAAGAAACAACUAAAUCGAAGCACCGACAAUUUUUUUUACUAAAACUAGUUGGAGUAGAUCAAAGAAAUUGCAUACAAGUAUGCAGUUAUUGCAACAACAAAGAGACAAAACUAAAACAAUAGAUUUAAUAGUAAAAAAGUAAAAUAUAAUGCACAGGUAUUCUGCAAAAAUCUGAAGGAAAUUAAAACGAAUGAGUGGGGGUAAAUCAGAGGGUUAGACAAGAACAUGUACAGGCUUGUGCUCAAAUGAAAGCUGAAAAAUUCAUGACAGCUAUCAAUUAACAAUAACACAAUGGUUAUAGCGAAUUACUGAAUUAUACUACUCCUACGCUUCUCACAUGUCCCUUUGACAUUCUGCAAAUAAUUUAUGGUGCAUAAGAAAGAUACUUCUAUAAAUUAUUUUACAAACUUUCAUGUUUGCAGUAAAAGUUUCUUACUCAAAUAUUUAUUCAAAUUAGAAAAAAAAAUCCUAAAAAUAAAUAUAUUUUGGAAGUAUAUUUUUCAUGCACCAUCAGAUACGUAUACCAAAAGCCAAAAGGAUGUGUAGAAGGGGGCAAAGGGAGUAAUAUGAUCUUGAAUCUUACUACAACUAAUAAUUGUUGCACCGUAUAUGGUGAUUUGGUUUCUAGGGUAAUCUGGGAUAACAAUAUUUUAGUGUAGCACAGCCUAUAUGUGUACACAGACACACACACUCACACACAGAUAUACAUAUAUAAGCAGGGCUGCAGGUGGGACAUACAUCAGUUAACGGUUCUUUAUAUCUUAGAUUCUGGUAAAGGGUAGCCUGAUAUUAAUUAUUAGAAGAUGGAAGAAGGAAACUUUAGAAGAUAGCUAAACAAAACAAAACAGGUAAUGUCCAAAUCAGCAGAAUCUAAUAAACAAUCUGUAUUUUCCGAUGACCAUAUCACAUGCCACACCUUUCAUUAAACUUCGACUAAUUUAAAUCCCUAAACAAAUACUAUAUUUGACCAUGAUAUGUAUCAUCAUCCUUUAAAAGCCCUCCCCCUUUCAACAAGCACCUUGAUAUUUAUCAUUACCUUGUAAAAUGAAUCACAACCCACAUAUGGAUCAUCAUCAACCCCAGAAGUCAGAACAUCAAUUGUACGUGUCUUGAUUACGUGAAGUUACAAAAUUCUACGCUAGCAAUUUGCAGCCACAUUUAUGACACAGCUACUACGAAACAUCCACUUUGCCUUUGUUGUACCUCUUAUCUGUGUUUAAACUUUAUCUGAAGUCAACUAGUGCUAUAGUUUGACAAAAAGAGCUAAACUCGGUUAUAACUCAAAACUUGUAUCCCGAAUUAGCGAUGACAAAUGGAAUGGAAAGACAGAAUGUGUCUCUUCAACAAUUGCAAACUAAGUCUGGUGUGCAAAGCUCAAGAGUCUAUUACUCUUUAAGUACGGAAUGCUAACUAAUUCCCAAGUACAUCAAUAAUAAACAAAUUAUACUUUAUCAAACGACUUAAGUUAAAAUCUAGGGACAAUACAGCUUUCCAUAACUGUUUUUAAAAGUUCACUAUAGUUAUAUGCAAAGUAACUGCACAGGACGAGGUUAAAUUCAUCAUCGGUACAUAUACUACACAAACCUUAAAAACAAUACCUCGCUUCUUAACAACCAUAGGCUGAGCACACGUAUUUUUCAUUUAUCAUAAAUUAUAAAAAUGCCUAAUAUAUCCUGUCUCGUAAACACUGACAUAUAUAUUCACAAUUACAUAUAUAUUCACAAUUACCGCACUUCUAAAUUCUUAAUACACUCAAUUACAGUUGAAAGAAUAUACAAGUAAUUACCAUCCCGGAAUGGCGAUGAACAGAAUGAAUUCUCCGAUUCGAUCCCGGUAACAUCAUCUUCGAAGCAAUCAGCUUCUCAACUCCCUAACAAAUCAAUCAAAAUCAGCAAUCAAAAAAUAAAACCCUAAGAAACAAAAUUAGAGAUACAAUAGAGAGAGGAGAGAGGAGAGUGUACCAUAACGACGCCGUCUUUGCAUUUGAUAGCAACGACGGUGCCACUGUUGUCGACGGCUUUAGCAGCAUACUCGAUCUGAAAAACACGGCCAUCCGGCGAGAAAGUCGUCACCGAUAAGUCGUAACCUGUUCCGAUGCUACUCAUUUUUCAAGUUUAUGUUGGAAAUACUCUCUCUCUCUCUGUCUCUCUGCGAGAGUAUUGUGUGUGCUUAUUUAAAUCGAGCGAGAGAGGCUCUUCUUUACUUUGGUAACAAGACACCCAAACCCCAGUCUGCCAACUUUACCGUUUUACCCCUUAAAACUAAGGGAAAACACGGUUAUAUCCCCAGGCCACGACCCCCUAUGAUGAACUUUUUUAUUUUAUAUUGUCAGAUUGAUGAUGAACAUUACUUAAUUUAUUUAACCGUAAGCUUUCGAAUAACCAGAUCUUUGAUAGAAUGUUCGGAUAAAAAUUAAUAAAAAUUUAAUAGGGAAUAUUAAUUUUAUUAUUAUUUUAGAGGACAAUAUUAAUAUACUUAUCAUAAAUGUAAUACUAAAAUGUAAGUUUUUUAAUAUUAACAUCUUUUAGUUAAAAUAACUAACGAGUUUAUAUCUCGUUCAAUAAUAUUAUAAGUUUCAAGAGAUUAGUGGAUUUACUCAUGUUAGAGAUGUAGGAGACUGUAAUUUCAUUUGAUUCGAGCAGUUAAACAUUUGGCCACUGUAAUUUCAAUUGUACUGCAGUUCAAGAUAUUUUUGAACAAAUUACAUAGUGGGUGUUUGGGAACGUAGCUUCUGAGCUUAAAAGCUCACAAGCCCACUUUCUUUUUCUUUGCGUCCGUUUGGCAAAUUGAAAGAAGUGCUUAUUUAAACUAAAAGAAGCUCAAUAAAUAAGCUAGAAAACCUAACUUAUUGCUGAGGCUCGGCUUCUGCUUCUUUUCUCCAUUCCCGGUGUUCAGUGAUAGACAAGCAUCAAUUGAUAUGAUCUUCAUCUCCCAUGUGUUGCUGCAGAUGAAAGAAUAUUUUCCUUUUUUGGUGCUUCAAUGUUCUGAUAAAAUUUAGUAUUUUUAAAAUAUUUCAUGUAUUAAAAAUAAAAGAUCUUUUAUUAUUAUAAUUUAUUUUUUAAAAGAAACAAAUUAUUAUAUUACAAAAUUACUAAAUUAUACCAACUUAUAAAUUAAGUUAUCCAAACACUUAAAAAACUUAUAAGUCACGAUAUCCAAACACUUAUAGCAGCUUAUAAGUCCAAACCAACUUAUCAUUUUUAAUCCACUUCUUUACUUUAAGUAAUAAGUCACUUCUUUUAAGCUCAGCCAAACGGCCCCAUAAAUACAAUAAGCCUUGAAGUUCCAAGAGCCUCCCUGGCUUAUGUUACACUGUUUCUUCAGGAACUACAAAUCACAGCAUACAUAUUGACCUUUGCAAGAGAUUGAUAGUAGUACAAAAAAGUGAUUUAGUAAACAAGCUGGGCAUCAAAUUCUGCAAUAUCAACGGAACCAGAGUCGAUGGGUUUCAUGAGAUAUGCAGCCAAGAGCUCAGAAGCCAGUGCUGCAAUAAGUGGAAUUCUUUUCAAGUUCUUCACAAAAUCAAUGUCAUCGGUUUCACCAAUUGCCAGAAGUUUUGUGUUGAUCUCCACCAUCCUAUCCAACUUCUUCUUGAAUUCGGGAUUCUCAACAUCAAGAACAGCCGGGAAAAUCCUUGCAGUGGUGCGAUUAGUCUGCAGGAACACAAAGAUUCGAUGUAAUCACACCUCAGGAUGUUAUUUUCAGUUGUCUUGUAGUUUUCAGGUUGAAAAUAUAUAUACAAGGAACUUGCGAUAAAAUUUAAGCUACCUCAUUAGGUUAGAAGCAUACAAAUUGUAGCAACUAAGUUUUAAAGUAGACAAACUGAAUAUAAUAUAUGAUUUACAAGAAUUCCAUAUCAAGUUUUAAGAUUCUCAAGAUCAGGCUGGGCAUAUAAAUUAUUGUCACAAAACUAAAAUGCUACCUCAAUGAUGACAUGCAUGUCAAAUUCUUUCGCGUCGAGUCCAAUGCCUUCAUAAAAGGAAGAUCUCUGGCAAUCAUUCAGAUACAUUGUCACGUAAACCUGCAUCCACAAUUUUUUUAAUUAACGACGAGAAACUAAGAAAAGGUACUACUUUCUAGAUAACUGCAGGGCACAGAAUACUUGUAGGGGGGAGAGUAACCAAUGCAUCAACUUUUAACAGAAGUUCUAUUUGAAAUAAUUUUUUGGUGGUCAGAAGUACUGUAGGCAGUGAAAAUGGUGAAUAAAAUAACUGAGAAUGGACUUUAAAUGACGAAAAAUAUCAAACAGAAAGGUGUUUCAACAUUACCGAUAAGCAAAAGAAGCGUGACCACAACUUAGCCUUCCAGUCAUUCAGGAACUGAGGCUGUGCCUUCAUCAAUGCAGAGAAAAAAUCACCAUGGCGGUUUUCAUCCUGGCACCAGUUCUCAAAGUACUUGAAUAUGGGAUAAAGUUGGUACUCGGGAUUACUUUUGAGAUGUCGAUAAAUGGUAAUGUAUCUCCAGUACCCAAUUUUCUCAGACAAAUAUGUUGCAUAGAAUAUAAACUUUGGCUUGAAAAAAGUGUAUUUCCUGGCCUUUGUCAAAAAUCCCAAGUCCAAUGCCAGAUUGAAAUCAGAUAGACCCUUGUUCAAAAACCUGAGAAAAAUCAUAGUUUUUAUAAAGAAAAUAAUCUACAUAUCAUAAAGCUUACCCACCAGCCACUAGCUCAAAAAAUAAAGUUGAAUGAGCACUUAAUAAUAACAAGGAAUAAUAUUUGAACAUACCCCGCAUGCCUGGCCUCAUCUCUAGACAUGAGAGAGAAAAUCUCAGCUACUACAGGAUUAGUUUUCUGCAUAAACCCAAUAAACCUGUGAGUUCUGAGAAAAGAAAAAAAAAACUAAAGAUAGAUAAAAGCACACAAUUAUAAUCUAAUUCACUAUUGACAAGGAACAUAGGUAACAAAAGAAACUGUUAAUCUAAAGAAGCAAAGACAUUUUAUAAAUGCAUUCAACAUAGGUACUGAACUAACAUAACACCAUAAAGACAACUAGAGACUGAUAACUAGUAGGACAACUACAAAGUAAGAAACGCUAGAAUCGAAUCUAUACAUAAAUAUCAAAUAUCCGAUGAAAUAAUGAUCAAGUUAGUAACUUUCUUUAAACCUUGAGGUGAGUAAUAGGAGCAAUGAUUAACUAACACAAUAUUAGAACUCAUGUAAUACCGGAAGUCCAACGUUCGAACUAAUACACCCCAAUAUUGAAAUGAUAACUUGGACACCAGGAUUGAAUAUUGACCCAAAAAACUGACCCAACUGGGAAGUGAUUCACUUUUAAUCCAAAACAUAUAGGUUUUUUUAACAAUCCAAUUCCAAUCGGUAUAUCUAAGUUUGGUAACAUAGUAACUUACCAGCAAUCAAUUUUGCUUUCACUAUGCUUUGUUAUUUUGUGGAGAACAUAUCAAUAAACGGACAGAAAAAGUGGGACAGAAUUUCAAGGUACCUUAAGUCUUCUUCCAAGCUCCUUGUAGAGAAGAAACCCCGAGAACUCAGCAGUACAAGACCUCUCCAAGAAUUCAACAAAAAUCUGGCGCAUUGGGCCUUGCAUUUUAUCAGCAGCCUCUUUAAACUCCUUGUUCCUCACAAAAUGAGUCUGAUUAUAAUCAGUCUUGAAUUCUUGCAGCAAUGCCUCAAACUCAGCUUCAUUUAGAUUUUUGUUAAUAUCAGUGUUGAAAAGUGUCUCCAUCUCAUCGAAAUCAGUAGUGUAAAACCUGGGUGUCAGCAAAGACUCCUUUAUCCCUUUCUUGGUGCCUUUGUUUGAUGAACUUGUGGAGGGUUUCGAGUUUGUGGCUGCCAUUUUAACUGUGACGAGUUUUGUGUGUGAUGUUCUUGGUUUUGAAUAGUUCCCAAGCUUGGAAAUUGAGAUGGGUUUCACUAAAGCCAUUCCUGCUGCCAUAGUGAAGCUUCAGCUAUGAGCUGAAGUUUUUUUGGUUGAAACUGGAGUGGUAGAUAAGAUGUGAAGUUAUGUAGUAGCUUAUGUGUGCAACAAAGAAAGUGUAUCUAAUCUCAUCCAAUAAAAUCUGCCAGCAUAAUGGGAUUCUGACACGUGGCAACUGAUAAUUGGAGCUACUUGGCUUUGAAUUUUUAUUUUUUUUUCCUAGCUAAUUUCUAGCAGCAAGUUUGAUUCUAAAAAUUUCAAGUUUUUUUUGGAAAUAAUUGGGUCCAGGUCUUGCAACCAUAAAAAGAAAAACAGGAAACUGAAUAUGUUAGUAUUGAUAAAACAAAUUAAUAAGGGGACAAUGAAUACAUAUUACUAGAUAAUACUGAGAAUAAUUGAAUCAUGCUUAAUUAUCAUGAUUCAAUAAUAACUUCUUGCACGAGUGAAGAACACUUGCACAGGGUAAAAGAGAGUGAGAUAGAAAUGCAGUCAAAACAAGAGAUAAUAACUUUUACUUCCGAACAUCACACUGCAAUUUGAAUCUUAUAUUUUUAGUUCCAUAACUAAUAUAAUCCACACAAAAAAAAAAAAAGAUGAAUAAGAAUUUACAGAAGCUGUAGAGGACAAAAGACUAUGACCAUCAAUUGGAUAAUGAGAUAAAUUAUUAAAAUCAUGUUACAUUUCAAAUGACAGAAAAGCAUGAAGGUACCCUAAAAUGCUACUAUAAGACUAGAAGUAACAACAUCACUGCUAAUAAAAUUCAUAGUUAUUGGGAAAUUUGUAUGAACUUUGUCAAUGUUUGAAAGAAGAAACUCUAACCACAAAUAUAUGUUUUUGUACCUGAGCGUUAAACUGUACACUACAACUCCUGCUCGCCUUAGAAUACUUAGCCAUGGUCGACUUCCUGGAAAGAGCUUCACCUAUAUUACUCAUAAUGAGACAUGGUACCCAGAAGUUUUUCUGAAAACAUUAUUAAAUUUUAUGGAUAAAGAUGAAAAAAACAUCACUAACAUUUGCAUAAGUAGGAAAACGAAUUUAAUGUUGUACUAUUUUUAAGUCUGCUCGGGAUCCAGACUUGGUAAAGGAAAUAUCUUAACAAGGAUACUUUGUCCGUUUUCAGAGCAUCGAAUAUCAUAACUCAUAAGCAUGUAUGAAUAACUCGCCUUUACAUUUAAUGAUAUGCUGAUGAAACUCGAAGGAACAUAAUAUCUUCACAGCGGGCAUUGUCAACAGAAGUAACUCCACUGAAGGAAUGAGACCUUCUUAAUCUUGAUCCUGGAAAGAGAGGAGAUGAAAUUGAACCUGUUCCAAACCUUCCACUUGCCUCCUUGUUCCCCUCUGUGUUAUUUUUAUCCCCAGGGAGAUUCACACUCCUGGGAGAAGAAUAAACAUUUGAUCCGUGAUAUUUGCCAAGCACGGCUUCAGUUCCUAUGUAUGUUUUUCCUUUUAAUCUAUAGGACUCUGUACAUAAAGAUUCAUCUUCAAGCACCAGUUCUCGGAAAUCAACCAGUGGUGGAGGGAUCUUAGUUGAAAAUAAUUCUUUAAGAUUGUUCAAAAUGCCCCGAUUAUAAGGGUUUUUCUUGUUAUCGUAACGGGAACGGAAGUUCUCAUAAGUUGUCUGUUAAAAAGGAGGGAAGAAGGAUGAUCAGAGGAGAGUGUAAAAUUUACAUCUAAACAAGACAUACUAUCCAGCAAAAAAAACAUGUUUGAGAGUAGAUGUCACAUCAUCUUCACAUUAAUUAUGGGAGUGGCAGCGACGCCAACAGAAAUUCUAUUGCAAGUUAAAGAAAGAAACGCCACGUGUAAGAGACUAAAAGGAGAAAAAAACCCAGCAAGUUUGAUAUAUCUUCUUUUUAUCCAUUAAUCCAUGUAUCUAUCAUGCAUUUCUAACAGUAGAUCUUUAUAUAUGUAUAUGCAUACUGCACAUGUUCAGCUGAAUACUCGUACUGAAAUGUAAUUUAGGAGCAAAAAGGUCACCUGAUUCGUGCACAUCAGAUACAGAUGGAAUACACUAAGCCCACCGACGAACCAAACAGAUAAGAAGCAAUACACCAGUAUGAUGACUGACAAUAUGUCUCGUGCCAGUACCAUCCAAAAACUUCCUUUUUCUUGAAGAACAUGUAUCAAAGUGAAGGUGAAGACGUAUAUGCACAAAACCGUUGAUGAUGUUAUAAACAGGAUGUAAUAAGGAUAAUUACGCUGCAAUGAGUAUAAAAUGAAAGAGUUCAGACUUCAGAAGGAACAGCUAACAUUGUUUAUCAAGGAACUUUAACUUAGUCACUGCAGAUACAUUCACACUAUGCAACCAGGUUUCGUUAGAUAGAUUAAUGAAAACAUGGAAUAUAAGUGUUUACAUAAUAGGGAGAGAAGUUGGAAAUGAAUGUUAUCGGUUAAUCAACGAUCACCAAACAAAGGCAUGCCUCUAGAUAUGUAAAGCAAUUAUGCCCCCAACAAUAUACUUUAGAGCAAAUCAUUACGAAGUAAAAUAUUGGACUUUUUCCGAUCUUAUAAAUAUCAUAGUUCUUAUAAGUGUUAGUACUAGCUUAACUUCAUAGUCUUGGAUUAUAGUGUCCUUAUUGAGCAACUUACGAUUCCAAUACAUUGUCCCACCCAUGGGCAAUGAUGAUCAAACUUUAGCACACAGUUGUUGCAUCUUGAGCAAUGAGAAGUACGUGGUGGACGGUAUAUCAUACAAGUUUGGCAGAAUUUCAAUCUAACAGUUUUGCCGUUGACAAUCUCAUCUCUGGUUCUAGGCACUUUCCGACCACUCAUGGAACGGCUCAACCAAUCCAUAGACAAAGUUGAUGUUGUCCCUGAUUCAGGAGGCGUUGAGCUCCUUGGUACUAUUCCCGGAUCACUUCCAGAUGUUACAAAGAGGAAAAUUAGAUCCUGCAUCAUUCUUACAUUGUCAAACUUGAUCAUAAUUAGUUGUCAGUCUGUUCUAAAGUUACUAAAAUCCUAAAAUGUUCUAUAACCUACCAACAGAAGGAGAACAAUUCCCACAAUCAGCACGCUGUAACCGCGCAGAGGACUGUUUUUGGCUACAUUAAGAAACGUUUUAAUGCAGAAAGCUAUUGCUGGAAUUCCUAUCAAGGAUACAGUUUUAGCUACCGAUGAUGCAUCAGGACCAAAGAUCAACCUCCCGCCGCAGAAAAAUUUCUACACAGUACAAGAAAAUAGCAAGUUAUAGACUAUGAAAGCAGAAGUCAGUAUAAUAGGCUGCACAAAUGGUUCUAAUAACAAACAAAAAAAUCACUUUACAGGAAGUUUAUCAUAAUUUAUACAAUAUUGAUUAGGCAUUUAGCUGGUGGUGAGGCACCCUCGGAGAUGACAUGAAAAAUCACAAACAAAAACGAAAUCGUACCAAGUGCACAAGACCCUUGCUUCGUAAAAAAAAUCUCAUUCUUAUAUUAUAUAUGGUAUUUCCAAGAAUUCGUACUAGGUCUGACCUAGCAGAUAACACGUCAACACUUAACAAUCACAAUCACACGUAUAGAAAGGAGAAACUUACAUUAUGGCCCUUCCAAACUUGAUAAAGCCUGACCCUUGAAUUUGAAGGAGGAUACAUGACUCCAAAGCCAGGAAGGAGCCAAGAAAAAUUGAAGCGUAACAAUAAUGCAAAUCGUAACGUUCAAUAAAAAAAAUGUUAAAACAUGCAAAUUAAAUAUUUAUGUUUCUUGAGGGGGAAGGUUGAUCAAGCAACCCCUCAUUUGUUUUUCUUCCAAUUAACGCCCCCAGAAACAAAACCCUCGUCGAUUUUCUCUUCCUUUUUGUUUGGGUUCCGUCUCGGAGGGUGUCGAAAGUAUUGCGGGGGGUGUUAAGUGUAACGGAUCAUUUUAAUUAAAUUUAAGUAAUAUCUUGCUGUGACUCAGACUAACCCCGUUAAAAUUAAUAAUCAUAUCUAUGAAAAGCGUAUCCAAACACAUCUCAGAUUAACAAUAAAUCAACAAAAAAAUUCUUAAAAAAUAUGAAAAGUUUUUAUAUGAUGUGUAAUUGGAUUAACUUGAAAAUUAACGCAUUUUCAUAUUUUUCUACAAAUAAAUGACUUAAAUCUGUUAAAUAAGAUAAGACCAAGAAAGUUACAAAAAAUAAAUAGAUAACGUCAAGGAUAAUUUUUUACAAAAAAAAUGCCUGAGAGUUGGGAUUAUAAAAUGCAAAGGUUUUAUAAAUCUUAGAUCCGGUCACAAGAAAAUAUAUAUAAAUAAUCGCUUGUGUUUGGAUUAAAAUUAACGAUUAUAAACGAUAAUUAACUUUAUAUCAUUAUUAAUAUUACAAAUAAUUGUACACCAACAUAUCAUAUGUUCUUGAUUCAUUAUCCAAUUUAUUGCAAGCAGUCCUAUUACCACUGCACCAAUAUAUCGAUAUAUUCAAGAUUCAUUAUCCAACAUAUUGCAAGCAAUCCUAUUACUAUUAUAAUAACAUAUGUUCUCGAAUUUUGAUUCAACAUAUUGCAGGUAAUAGGAUUACCACACCGAUAUAUGAUCGACUUUUUUAUUCAACAUGAUGCAAGUAAUCCUAUUACCACUACAUGAGCAUAUAAUGAUAUGUUCUCGAUUCUUGAUUCAACAGAAUUGUCAUGGUACGAGUUCAAGAGAAUCUAUACCAAAAUUUAUAAAAAUAAACAAAUUUAUACUUUUACCGGUAAGAACAUCUCCGACAUUCACUUAAGUAACUCUUUAAAUAUAAUAAAAAAAUUGUCUCUUAACGACUUAAUGUACAUUCAUCUUCAAUAACAUUCUUUAUAUUUAUUUUUUUAUAUAAUAUUUUUUUAUUAAAUUAUUUUUUUUCAAAUAGAAGUACAAUACAAAAGUGGAUGCUUGUAUUACUUUAUAAUAAAUAUAAUUUAAAAGUGAGUUGUGGACUCUAAAAAAAGGAGAGAAAAGAGGUUCUAGAGCAAGUCCAACACUAUGCUAAGAGAUUCUCUAAAAAUAUUAUAAAAUAAUAUGUCUUAGUGAUUUAGCACAAGAUUUAGCACAUGAGCUCCAAUAGUACUCCCUAUAUCCAUUCCCUAUUAUUAUAAUAAUAUUAAAUUUAAUGAUAAAAAUAGUUUAGAAGAGAGGGAAAUGAUGUGGAGGAGAGAGAGAAAUGAAUAUUUUAAUGAUAAAAAUAGUUUAGAAGUGGCUAGCAUAGUCUAAAAAUAGGGAAGGGGAGGCAUGUGCUAGUGAUUUAGCACAUCACUAGCAUAGUGUUGGAGUGCAAUUUUAUCCCAUAUUCCCUAUUUUUGGAUUUAAGACUUGAUUUAGCAGGACUUGCUCUUAAGACUUUAAAAGUGUUUGAGACCACUUUUUAAAGACCUUGAAUACUGAACACUACACCAAAAGCAACUACUUGUUCGAGAUGACGCAACUAUAAUAUAAUAUUUAUAGUGUAGCAGCAAACACCACAGUUCGACGCAGUGAGUGUGAGAGAUGUGCUUAUUUGUGUAGCAGCCAUCAUCACGAAUCGAAUUAGAGAUAUACUGGACACCCCCAGCACUUCUUUUCUAAACAAAGAAGUAGAGGACUUGUCUCUUUGAUAGUAUGAAGAACUGCAUCAUAACAAGCUGCUACAUUAAUUUGUUUCAAGUCAAAAGGUUUGGCCGUUAUAUCGAGGCUUAACACAAUACAUGAAAUCCAGCACACAGAAUUUUGCCAAUAUCUGUGAGAAUAGUCUGCCAGUUGCGGAUAGACUGCCGGCUACAGACAAGUAACAAAGGGAAAGGACUAGCAUUACAAAAGUUUCUUACAACACAAAUGUUUCACUUGAACCAUAACUUCCUAUCUACUAAAUACAUGCAAAGCUAAAGUUACUACUGCUCCUGGCUGUAUCGCAGUUGACUACAUCCAGAAUAGCUUCUUGCCAUCAGACUACAGAUAACUGCAGAAAGAAAAUGCAAUGCUGUGAGAAAUUCAUUUCACUCUACUUUUCAUAAAGAUACGUAAUGGCUACAAUACAUUUUUAAGCUGUAGUAAUUCAGGAAACCAGAAAAGCAAAUAUAACUUGAAGAAACGACAAAAAAGUUAACUAGUUAAGAUAGUCAAAAAGUGAUUAUCAGAUGUAAAAUUCAGGAAACCAGAACAGUACCACUCCCCAAUGCUAUAGACAAGAUCAUGACAAAUUAAUAAAUACACUAUAAACCUGUAUCUUGAAAAAAACUCCAAACUGCUCCCAAUUGUUGUGUCGGGGAGGUCAGCCGUUAACCAUAUAUCUCGGUAACUAGACAGCAAUAUACAUUAGUUACUCUCACUGUCUGACAUGGGGUUAGAUGCCUGUGAACCACACAAUUCUGUAACCCCACAGUAAAAAUUUAUGUUUGUCUGAGUAGAAUCAACUGUACCUACAGUAUUCUGCCACUCCAUGGCAGUAAAUAUUUUCUUCUAUAGAUUUCACACGAAUGGGUGUUUAAUGUCUCCUUGAGGUUUAUUUGACUCACGUGGUCCUUGUUAAAGUAAAAGAGUGAGGUAUGUGCAGAACAAGACAGGUCAUGCAUGUGGGUUCAGUAUCUUAAGUAAUUAAAUAAGCUGACUGUAUCUAAACCAUAAGGUGAACCAAGUCCUUGUCUUCCCAGAUGCUGCAAACUUUCUCAGGCCCGGUUUUUCUUCGAAAUAAAUUUAAACACUAAUUAAGUGUCCCAAGACCCUUCUGUACCAUUCUUAGAUAUUAAAGGAAAAAAAAACGCAUCAAAAAAGGUAAAAUCAGUGGUUAUGCAGGAACAUUAUAGCAGAUACUUGUCAAAAGCCCACUUCAGAGUUUUCAAAAGUCAGUUCACCAAAGUCCUCAUGACCUGAGAUUACCAAAAUAUAUAUGACUACCAUGUGUAAAAAAUUUUAUAUUUCUUGAAAGAACCAACAUUGUUUAAAGAUGAAAAGGUACAUUGUGAAUUUACAGGGGAAAAGAAAAAAAAAGGUAUACUACUUAGCACAAUAACACUCACAUUCAUCUAUUGCUUACUUUUUGAAUCAGGUGCUGGGGGAAGCUUGGGUACUAAUUAGUGCAUAUAUCGUAUAAGUGAAACAAAAAUGGCACCACAAAGAGAACUUCAUGAGUGGUGCAUUAAAAUAUUAAUUGGGCACUAAGAAUAGAGAGGAAGAACCUCAGAAACAUAUGGCAAGCAAUGUCAAACUCCCUUUCAGACGUUCUCUUGUUCACACUUAAGUAUAAAAUUGCAGAGAUGAUGACAACUGAAAGCUGACAUGAAGAGACCCUAAGUGAUUUUUUCAGUUAAGGAUGUAAUAACUAAAUUCUAACUUAUCAUAUAGGAUACAGUACAUAGUUCCAUUGGAUAAUAUCAUUCCACGAGGACCUCCGAAAAAGACUAACAGGAUUUCAAAAUUCCACACCAACUAUUUUACAUUUGUUGAAGAAAAUAUCACAGCAUAACAAUAAGCAUCAAUGAACCCAGGUUGUUGUUGUUUGUUUGUUUUGUUUUUUUGUGUGUGUGUGGGUGGGUGGGUGUGUGUGGGUGGGGGGGGGUUAAGAGAAAACUAACCUUUUUUCAUAUGCAUCUGUCAGAACUCUAAAGGGUCUUCAUCAUCAAUAAAAGUAACCCUUACAAUUCAAAGAUCCGCAUAAGCAUCUCUUCCUCCUCAGUGCAGCUCUGUCAGAUUUAGGUAUCCCAUAAUCAAAUGCCAGCUCUUGCAUGGGAGGAAUGUGUCCAAUAGAAUAAAAACCAACAUGAAGAUAAGUUUUAUCUCCACUAUCUCUCAAAACUGGCUGCCAGAAAACAUUAGGAGAACAGCUGUGAUUAAUAAAGCGAGCCACAUUCCCAGUAUUCUUAGCACUGAUAACUAGGGGGAAGGGAACUUCUGCAGACCCAUUAGAAGUGUAGUCCAGUGAAGGAUAUGCCCUGGUAGCAUCAAAUAUAUACUCUUCAUGUUCACUUCCAAGGUCCAUAAUACUGGAUGCAUCAAUAACAUCUCCAGCAUACUGACAAAUAAACAUUCCACUGCGGAUGGGAUCCCAGGAUCUAAGUCCCCAACCUUUAUCUUUCGUUCUAAACACCUCCAACCGAACUUUUAAUCCUGCUUGAGAAACCCGGUUUCGGCAGUUUGGAGGGCAUAAACAAGAAGAACCACACUCAUGUAUCAAGGAAUUGUAAUUUAAAACUACGCCAAGUGAAUUGUAUGGAAGAAAACCUUCAUUCCUUUGAACACAGGGGCAAUUUGCAUCACCAGCUUGGCAUCCACCAUGGCAAGCACAGCCUGAUGAUGGAACGGGCAAAUCAAAUGGUUUAUCAUACUUGAGAGUUGAAGAAUAUGUGAAAUAUGCUGGACCCUUUUCAUCAUCUAUGUCAUUUACGAGAGAUACAGGUAGAGUUUCUUCCCCUGAAGUAAGAUCAGGCAGAAUAACACCAAUCCUUGUACCAGAUCCUGCCUUCCAGUGUUCAAUUGAUUUCCACAACGUAAAUGCUUCAGGCUGACCAGGCACUCGAACAAACUUGUACUUAAAAACACUACAACCACCUUUUCCUUUAUCUACCCAUGACUCGUGUAUUUUAUAAAGGCCAUCAUAGAUGUAUAUCUUCCCAGUUCCAUUAGGGACAUCCUUCACCCCCCUUAUAACUCUAACAACAUUAGCCCUAUGCAAGCUCUUUUCCAAAGCAAGGUUACCCCUUUCAAGUUUCUGAUCAAAUAUUUGACCAUCUUUCCUUUGAACUCCACCUUGCCCGCUAUAGAUUAGGACAUCCCCAUCCUCACCAUCAUCUUCAUAUCCUCCUGAAGAAACAACACUUACAGCCACAGGUUCAUCAUCAGCAGACAGUUUGACAGUCAUAUAAUCUAUCCCAGCCAUUGUCGGGGCAUGCAUUCCUACCAUGCACAUUUCCAUCCUGAAAAAGAAUAUGUCACCUACUUCAACUCCAGGUACAGGUCCAACCCUCUUCGUGCUAUUUGUCCUGGCCCCCUUAUUCAUUAAAGUUGUAGCAGCCUUUAAGUCUGGACGAUUGGUACCCCCCGGAAUAUCCUCCUUAGCUUCACAAAUCUGAAAAAGUCUUCUCCGAAACAGAUUAUAUGUCAGGAGUACUCUUGCAACUAAUUCCUUAUUCCCAUCAGCUUGUUGAUGGGAUUCCAAUGCUGUUAGCUUAAAUGCUCUCAAGAACUGAUCAAGAGUAUCAUCAAUGCUUACUUGAACCGAGGAAAGAUUAGCAGGACCCUUUGCCCUUUUAUGAGAGCUACCUCUUUGCUUCCUUCCGCUACUUGGGUCAUCUAAAUUUUCACCCAGAUCAGAAGCUCCGUAGUCAUCUUCAGUUCUACCUUUUCGAGGCCUGCCUCGUGUUUUCGAUGGCCCUGCAUUUCCAUUUGAAUAUUGUGUGUCUGGAGUUCUAAAAGAGUUCAACGGAACUGGCGAGGGUAUGACAUUUGCAAACCCAGAAGCUCUCUGUGACUCAUUUCCGGAAGCAAAAGGGAAAAAGGAUGGACCGCCAGGCGCAAACGGACCAGUUGGAGGGACACCUGGGAAUGGACCGGUCUGAGAUGAGCCCAUUUGCGGCGAAAAUAUUGGUUUGAGACUUCUUAAUGGUUUCACAUCCAAAACCCUAGACUUGUCAAUAGGACCUGUCGGAUUAUAGUUUGAACCUCGAUCCAUUGCUCCUUUUUUCACUUAAAAACUAAACAGAUGUCACCUCUUAUAAAAAAAUCAAGUCCUGGAUAUCUUCUACCCACUUAUAAUCUUCUUCCAAGUACACUAGGAAAAUAAAAUCUAUAUCAGAAUACUAGAACUGACCAACUAAACAAAAUGUUAAAUCCCUAAAACCAAGAAAAAGGUUCAAACUUUUACCAAAUAACAUAUCAAAACUACUUCAACCAAGCGAAAAACACUCAUAAAAAUCUCAUACAUCAACUAUCUUUAAUGAACCCAACAAAAGGAAACACCAAAAAUCCUUAAUAACUUCAGGAAAAACAAAAACAAAUUAAGCCCAUACAAAUGUGACACACAACCAUGACGAAAGCUGUAAACUUUGACCUCGAAACAGGCCAAAGAUGCUUCUUGAAACAGGCAAACAAAAAAAAACCUCAAUCUCAUGUAUAUAUCGAUUAUUUAUCAAUUACCCCAAACAAAUGCGAAACCUACACAAUAAUCAUAGUCCAAGUCAAAUCAGCUCCUCAUCUUCAACCAGAAAUUGNNNNNNNNNNNNNNNNNNNNNNNNNNNNNNNNNNNNNNNNNNNNNNNNNNNNNNNNNNNNNNNNNNNNNNNNNNNNNNNNNNNNNNNNNNNNNNNNNNNNNNNNNNNNNNNNNNNNNNNNNNNNNNNNNNNNNNNNNNNNNNNNNNNNNNNNNNNNNNNNNNNNNNNNNNNNNNNNNNNNNNNNNNNNNNNNNNNNNNNNNNNNNNNNNNNNNNNNNNNNNNNNNNNNNNNNNNNNNNNNNNNNNNNNNNNNNNNNNNNNNNNNNNNNNNNNNNNNNNNNNNNNNNNNNNNNNNNNNNNNNNNNNNNNNNNNNNNNNNNNNNNNNNNNNNNNNNNNNNNNNNNNNNNNNNNNNNNNNNNNNNNNNNNNNNNNNNNNNNNNNNNNNNNNNNNNNNNNNNNNNNNNNNNNNNNNNNNNNNNNNNNNNNNNNNNNNNNNNNNNNNNNNNNNNNNNNNNNNNNNNNNNNNNNNNNNNNNNNNNNNNNNNNNNNNNNNNNNNNNNNNNNNNNNNNNNNNNNNNNNNNNNNNNNNNNNNNNNNNNNNNNNNNNNNNNNNNNNNNNNNNNNNNNNNNNNNNNNNNNNNNNNNNNNNNNNNNNNNNNNNNNNNNNNNNNNNNNNNNNNNNNNNNNNNNNNNNNNNNNNNNNNNNNNNNNNNNNNNNNNNNNNNNNNNNNNNNNNNNNNNNNNNNNNNNNNNNNNNNNNNNNNNNNNNNNNNNNNNNNNNNNNNNNNNNNNNNNNNNNNNNNNNNNNNNNNNNNNNNNNNNNNNNNNNNNNNNNNNNNNNNNNNNNNNNNNNNNNNNNNNNNNNNNNNNNNNNNNNNNNNNNNNNNNNNNNNNNNNNNNNNNNNNNNNNNNNNNNNNNNNNNNNNNNNNNNNNNNNNNNNNNNNNNNNNNNNNNNNNNNNNNNNNNNNNNNNNNNNNNNNNNNNNNNNNNNNNNNNNNNNNNNNNNNNNNNNNNNNNNNNNNNNNNNNNNNNNNNNNNNNNNNNNNNNNNNNNNNNNNNNNNNNNNNNNNNNNNNNNNNNNNNNNNNNNNNNNNNNNNNNNNNNNNNNNNNNNNNNNNNNNNNNNNNNNNNNNNNNNNNNNNNNNNNNNNNNNNNCCCCCCCCCCCCCCCCCCCCCAAAAAAAAAAUCUCAUGUCUAUACACACAAAUCAGCUUCAGGAAUCAAGAACCAAAGAAAACAAAACCCUGAAAAUUAGUCAGACCACAAUUACAAUGACAGGAAAUGAUUAGUCAAAAUAACCCAAAUAAAUGUGAAACACACACAACACAAGAUAUUUUAAUGAUCCCAACAAAAGGAAACACCAUGAAUCCUAAAUAACAUUACAAAAUAUAAUAAAUUAAUUUAAAAUCAAUCGCUGACAAAUGUGACACACAGACACCCGCACAAUGAUCAUACACCAUGAUGAAAGCAGUAAACUUUGACCUCGAAACAGGCCCGAGAUGCUUCUUGCAAUAUUCAAACACAAAAAACCCUCAAAAUCUCUUGUAUAUAUCAGUUAUAUAUCAAUUAAGCCAAACAAAUGUGACACCUACACAAUAAUCAUACACCAAGUCAAAAGAUGCAAACUUUAACCUAAAAACAGGUGCAAGCUCCUGAUUUAAGUCAAUCAUACACACAAAUCAGCUUCAAGAAUCAAGAACCAGACUCCCAAAGAAAACAAAACCCUAAAAAUUAGUCACACCACAAUUACAGUCACGUACAUUGACUAAUCAAAGUAACCCAAAUAAAUGUAAAACACACACAAUGCAAGAUAUUUUAACGAUCACAGCAAAAGAAAAACAAGAUUCCUGAAUAACAUAACAUUAAAAAAUUCAAAUUAAGCCCAGAAACGCCCACAAAAUAAUCGAACACAGUGACAAAAGCUGUAAACUUUGACCUCAAAACAGGCCCGAGAUGCUUCUCGCAACAUUCAAACACAAAAGAAAAAACCCCUCAAAAUCUCAUGCAUAUAGCAAUCAUAUAUCAAUUAAGCCAAACAAAUGUGACACAUACACAAUAAUCAUACACCAAGUCAAAAGAUGCAAACUUUAACCUAAAACAGGUGCAAGCUCCUGAUUUAAGCGAAUCAUACACACAAAUCAGCUUCAAAAAUCAAGAACCAAAGAAAACAAAACCCUAACAAUUAGUCACACCACAAUUACAGUGACACAAAAUGAUUAAUCAAAAUAACCCAAAUAAAUGUGAAACACACACAGCACAAGAUACCCAGAACAACUUAAAAGAAACAAAAUUGAAAAACAGAGUAAUUCAAUUAACGAGAUACAGAUACGAUGUAAACAGAAUCAGUAGCAAAGAAGACAGCUAAAUAGAUCAGUACAGGGGAGUGAAGCAUUAACAAACCAGAUCUUGAAAUAGAAACAUACCUAGUAACACUGGGGUUUAUGUUCUUGGGGAGAGAGAGGAGAGAGAAGCAACAAGGGGAAAUGAAGAGAGUGUAGAGUGUGUUUGAGCGCGCAUGAAUAAACGAGAAAGCAAGCCUCUGAGUGCUUUAUUGUACUUUGUUUAUGUUUGUACUUGGGAUAUUUUAAGUUUAACAAAACACUGACUUAUCAUAUAGACUAGACGGGGCACAGCUCGAUUCGUAUUUCCCCUUUCUUGUUUAGACUUUGGAGUGGUAAAUUAAGUAACGGAUUUUUCGGACACCCUCAUCAUUUUUUGUUAAAUUUUUUUUUUAAUUUCAAUUUUGUUAUAAUAAUACUCUCACGUAUAUAAAGUAUACUUGUUAAUACACAAUAUGAGUGACCCGCUUAAUAUCGUCCAAUACUAAUUGAGACCUGAGAAUUGAGAUAUCUAAGAAAAUUGUUACAAGAAUUUAUAUUUGUAAGUGAAUAGGAAGUUGCUGUAAAUGUAAUGCUUAGAAAAAUUAACUGGUAUAAUAUUUAUAUCAUAAUAUAUUAAUAUAUUAAAAAAAUUGUUAUAAUAUUUUAGUUAUUAUUGUUUAGAUGUUAUAUAUAUAAUUCAAAAUAAAAAAUAUCAUGAAAUCGUUUUUUUCUGUUUAUUGGGAUAUUAAUAGUUGGAUUGAUCUAGUUUCUGGUAGAUUAAUAAAGAGAUGAAAUGUGAUAGUAGUCCUGUACUGUGUUUCCAAAUUUUAUAAUUUUUUUAGCUAGGCUGAUCUAAUUUUUACCGAAUUUUGUAAUUUUAUCUCAGUCAAGUUUUUUUAAAAAAUGUUAGCUUCUGUUUGAUAUUAUUCUUUCAAAUAAGAAUAUAUUAUUAUCAAAAAAGUUAUGAAAAAUUGUUUGAUAAGUUUAAAAAUAAUAUUUUUGAAUUAUGAUUUUAACUAAGAAAAAGGAGGUCCCCUUACACUAUUUGUAAAAGAUAUUGCAUUAAUUUUAUAUUUCAUCUAAUAUUUUACAGAUCUAAUUUAGUCAAUAAUCGUUGAAAAUAAUAAUGAGUUGGAGAAAAAGCAUGCUUCAAACAAUUUUCUAGCAACACUUGAAAAUUUUAAAAUUAUUUUCACCAUCAUUUAUUAUAUUUCAGAGCCCUUUGGUCAUCAUCUAUAUUAUUUUUAUAAAUAAAUAUUUUGGUUUUAUUUCUCAUUUUAAUCUCUCUCUUUUUUCCCAAUUUAUCAUGCAAUAUUAAUAAGUAGUACAUAUAAACAAUAUUAUGAAAGUUCUGGUUCUUCGUUAUAUCACAAAAUACUAAAAUACCAGAAGUCUAACUAUUAUUAUUAUUAUUUGUAAAAUUGCAUAAACAAUAUUAUGAAAGGUCCGGUUCUUCGUUAUAUCACAAAAUAGUAAAAUAUCAGAAGCCUAACUAUUACUGUUAUUUGUAAAAUUGCAUAGUGGUUUCUUGGAGUUGCUCAUCCAAAACGCACCAAACGCGUCCCGGUCGAGAAAUUGAAUAAUGAAGGAUUAAUUAAUCAAAUCAUGAUUAAUCGGAUGAUUAAUUGAAUAAUUAGAUAUUUAAUCAGUUCGUUGGAUUAUGAAACAAGAAUUAAAUGCUAAUUUAUCGUGAUUAAUCAUCGACUUCUAGAACACAACAGAUUUAUUAAAUUCGUUAAGUUUGUUUUAACAUUGCGGUGUGAAUAGACUACAAAUAUAUUAAUAAUCAUUUAGAAGGUAUAGUCUAAAUAUAUUAAUCUCUUCUUUAUGUACUUCUUGGUAUACAUUUUAAGACAUCUCAUAAAAUACAGUUUCAUAUUUUUUUUUUCAAUGAAUAAAAGUUUGACGUUUAAACUUUUAUUAAAAAAAGAUAAUUAGAAAAAGUUUAAGAAAUUAUAUUUUAUAAAAAUUUCAAAAUGUAUGCAAAUAAUGAACCUAAACAACUGGACUGGAAGCAAAUUUUACUGUGUCAGACGAGUUCAUAUUAUUUUAAGGUGCAUUUCGUGUAAUUUUCAUAUACAUUUGUUUUUUUUUUUAGAAGAUUUGUGAUCCGUUAUCGUUAUUUUUAAAAUAACAUUUUUUCAUCGCAUUCAAUAAAUUCAUUUACCUUAUUCACUUUGUUAGAACGGUGAGGUGUGAAUAGACAACAAUUAUAUUAAUAAUCAUUUAUUGUGCCUCAGGCUCAGGGCAUAAUAUAUUAAUAAACAAUUUACUGUGCUGGAGGCCAUAGCCUAGAUUUAUUAAUCCUCUCGAGUGUGCUUUCAUGUUUUGUAUGCUUAAAGUUAAAACUUAUAUCUUGAAGUUAUAAUGCUAUAUAUUAUUUAAUAACAUAUAUUGAAUCUUUAUAUUUACACAUAAGUAUAUAUAAAUUUGUAAAUAUAUUUGUUUAUACUCAUUUAUUUAAAAAUAUAUUUAUAACAUAUAUUUUUUGUCUAUAUAAAAUAAAAAUAUUUAAUUUAUCAUGUAUUUGCGUAUCUGUGUAUCAAGAAUCCAAACACCUGCAUCAAACUGACUUUAUACCCAUGCGUUAUCUUAAAUGUAAGAAAGGUUCAUUAUCAGCAAACAGUAACAGUUGUUGUAAUACGUAAUUUACUUGGACAAAGUGCUUUGAAUUGCUUCAAAGCGAUUCGGAAUGAACCUUUAUGUAAUCCUUGCUUGUGCGAUGACUUAUAUAUAAACCACACACACAUUGCCAAUAAGUUUGCUUGCCAAGUCACUCCAACUAAUAGAUAAGACACUUCGAAAAUAAAUAACUAAAAUGAUUUGUAGCGAAUGCACUUUUGACUAUAUAGCUAACAAGGAUAAGGACGACAAUAAAUUUAAUCGACAUCUGACAAUGAACCUUUUCCAGUUUUUUUUAAUUUAUCUGCUACACUCGAUACCCUCCCGACGAAGUCUGUAGUAGUAGUAUUAAUUAGAAAUACGGGUCUAAAUAAUCCAGGCCGGCUGACAGGGAAAGGCAGGGCAGAGCUACUCAUCACAUGACUAAGGGGCUGUUUGGACGAGCUUAAAAUAAUUGUUUCUUACUUAAAAUAAAAAAGUAGAGUAGAAGUUAAAAACAAGUUAAGACUUAUAAGUGGUUAAAGUGUUUGAGAAAUAAGCAGAAGCCCUGAAACAAAAGCUAGCACUCCUAGCUUUUUAUAAGUGCUUCUUCACUUUUUACACAAACGCUACGAAAUAAGUGCUUCUAACUUAUAAACCAGAAGCUCGGCUUAAAAGCCGGAAACAAACACCCCCUAAAUCUUAAUAUAUACCCCCUUUGGCUUUCUCGUUUCUUUACCGUUGGGAUGUCCCUCUCAAUUCUUUACGUCACUGUAAGGACAUUUCUAACUGUGAUCCAAAAAUUUAAAUUUAAAGCAAUUUUGGUCCAAACCAGCCCAACCGUGGAUUAAAAAGUGAUCAAAAUUUGGAUCAAUGAAUAGUACUUGUCCAGAUUUGGAUCACUGUCCAAAUUUGGAUCACUAUCCAAAUCUUUUUAACAUUAAAAUAUUAUUACUUUUAUUAUUUGAUGAUUUUGUUAAUGUCAUUAAAAAUAGAUUAAUUAAGAUUAGAAUAUAAAUAAAACAACGAUUAAUUACAAUUUAAAAUUUCAAAAUAAAUAAAAUUUACAUAAAAUUUCAACAAUUUAACAAUCGCUACAGGAAAAAUCAAAGACAAAUAUUGUUCAUCUUGGACUUCGAAAUGCACUAAUUGAGCAUUUGCGGAAAAAAUAUACUUUCUAAGAAUUAGUAUUUUAAUGUAAUAUUUUAAUAUUUUUAAUUUAUUUUUAUGUGCCGUUUUAACUUUUUCGAAUUAUUUUGUAAUAUUUUAUCUUUGUCUAUUCGUUAAUUAUAUUAUUACAAUUAAUGAUGAAAUUAGUUAAUCAUUUUUAAAAAUAUUUAAAAUUAAAGUAUAUGAAUAUUAUAAGGAUGGAUGAAUUUGGAUCUAUAUUUGGAUCACAUGGUUGGAAUAGGAUUUAAAUCCCGCCCCAAAUUUGGAUCAUUUGGUGAUCCAAAUUUGGAUCUAUGGUUGGAGUUGGCCUAAAUAGUAAGUUUUUUCCAUCAUUACACCCACUAUCUUCCCCUACUAUCUCAUAUUUAACAAUAAAAACUACUAUUACACCCACUACUUUCCUCCACUAUCUCAAAUCUAUUAUUAAAUAUUGAUAGGUCCCACCACUUUACCCACUUUUCAUAUAACUUUACUCAUUUUUUAUACAUUGUCUUGGUCUGUGUGUCCCCUGAAAUGUAAAUAAUUAAGGGGGACGGAGGGAGUAUAUUUAUUCAGUUUUUUAUUAGAUUGAACAUAAAUAGCUAAAAAAAUGUACAAAAAACGUGUGAAAAGAUAAAAUAAAUCGAUAAAUUGCCAAAUAUUUUUAACAUUUAUAUCUUAAAAUGUGGAUGAAAAUAUUUGGUGAUUAUUUUUUAUAUUAUUAGAUAUGCUAUUAUAAAAGAAUUCUGAAAUGUAAGAAAUUAAUAAUGAAAAUUUUAACAGAACUAGAUGACAUAAUUAACAUAUAAACAUUAUAUAUAUAUAUAUAUAUAUAUAUUUAUACAUAUAAUAUGACUUCUAAAUUUUAAUGUUAUUUUUAAAGUCUAGAUAAGGAUUUCGUGAUCGAGAUAUAAUAUACAAUAAUUUUUUUUUCAAGUAUCACAUUACUUUAUUUUGAAUACGUGUUAACAAUCAAUUAUCAUGUUAUAACAGAGCGUAAUAAUAUCAUAAAUUAUUUUGAAUAUGAAAAUUAACUGAAGACGAAUAUAAUUAUAUUCGUAAAAUCAAGUUGCUGUAUAGAAAAAAAAUCUAAAAUGAGCAUGUGUGUCAUAUAUCAUAUCAUAUCGAAGAUCAAUAAUUUAUUUAACAAAUAUGAAUGACUUAUAUUAAGACAUAUCAUAAUGUAUCAUAAUGUUGAGUGAGGUAGAAAUGGAUGAUCGUUCAAUAGUUACACAGACGUGGAUAGAUAGAAAUGAGGAUGAGUAUCUUCAAAAAUAAAGAAAGAAAUAAAAUUAACACUAGUGGGCUCCACAUUACAUGUUGACACAUUCAAGGAACAAAUCCGCAGUUCCUAAAACCCCUCAAUGCAAGUGCAAGAAGCAGCAUACGUGAAAGCAAAGUAUAUAUGUGAAAAAACACACACACAAACAUCAACAACAAUAACACAGAGACGAGUCAUCAUCUUCUUCUUACAGUAACACUUUGUAGUUUACACAACUGCCCCCAUCACUCCAUUACAUCAUCACCUAUAUAUAGAGCCCAUAUUCCACCGCUUUUAAACAUGCCCUUCUGACCCCUUCUCUGUAUAUUCAUAUUUCUUAUCAUUAUCUUUAUUUAUCUCUCUCAGAGACACACAUACUAAAUUGGGGUUUUGGAGAGUUGGCUACUUGGUUUCUGAGGUAAUUUCUUGAUAACAGAACUUGGGUUUAUCUGUGUGUUUGGAUUCUUUACUUUUAUUAUUGAUUGCUAUUCUGUUUCUGAGAUUUUGGGUUUUUAUGGCAUUUUUGUACUUUGUUUUUGUCUUGUUCUAUGGAGUUUCUUAUGAUACUAUCAUGUGAGUCUGUGACCGGGUGAGGUAAUUUUUAAAAAGUCUCUCUCUCUCUCUCUCUCUCCUCUCCCUCUCCCCCUCUCUCCCUCCCGCCCUCCCUCCCUCCCUCCCUCUCUCUCUCUCUCUCUCCCCUCCACUCUCUCAAACACACACACACACGGAGACAGAAAAUUGUAUAUCUUAAUAUGAUAUAUUUCUUGUAACUUAUUGUUUGGCAUCAAACUCAACUGGUCCAACUUGGUAAAACUAUAUCAUCGUCUCCAUAAUUCUGAUGAUUUAGGUGGUUGUUUUCUGUUCUUGCUUUACUACUUUUCUGAUAGUUGAUCAUAGUGGAACUCAAAUGACCUUGAUUCUUUUUGCCUAUAUAAGCCUGUGCUGCCACUGAAUGCUGUGAGGAGGAAGAAAUGGGUUCCAGCAGCGGCUCCUCUUUCACCGUUCUACUUUGCACUCUUAUUGGAUUGUGCGCUUUGAAUCAAUGUUGCGGGGUUGGCUUAGAGGCAAACGUGACUGCACAAUUAUUUGUAAAUGCUUCUAAGGUAUCUGCGAGGCAGAUACCACAAAGUCUCUUUGGUGUAUUCUUUGAGGUACUUUUUUUACACACUAACAAGUUCUCCUAUCCCCUGCAUUUUAUUUUGUUGUUCAAGAGGUUCCUAAAGAUAUCGUAUUUCUGGGUACCAUUAAUCAGAUGUCCUCUUAUAUAUACAUAUUCGUCAACAUGCUCUUGUCAUUCCAUCCUUAUAAGACCUCUGUUAGGAUGCAUCAUUGUAAACCAGAUAGCUACCCACCCAAUAUUUAUUGCAGUUAUUAAGGUUAGAUCUUAUCCUAUAAAUGGAUUAUUAAAAUUGUUAUUAAUAUGAUCCUUUCAAGGCCUCUUGCUAACACCUUAAGAUUGUGUGUGGGCUGGUUACUCUUAGCGAAGAAGGCUUUUGGCUUUUUGUAUGGAAUUGCUACCUUUUUUUUCGUAUAUGCACUACUAAAUGGAAUAUAUAUGUUUCUACGUAAUUGUGCUUUCACAUGUUGGCCUUCCACAGUGUUAGUUUUUGAAAAUGGCAUUCCCCUGUUUUUUCUUGCAGGAGAUCAAUCAUGCUGGGGAGGGCGGCCUGUGGGCAGAGCUUGUAAGCAAUAGAGGUAUCACCAGAUUCUCUUGACCAAAUUCAAAUUUAUCAAACGCACUGCAUCUUACGGCUGUUUCUCUGGUUACUUAUUGGUUUCAAAAUUAUCUUGUGUGAGGAAGCAUUACACAAUUUGAUUAAGUUAGUUGCUUAAAGGUGUCUAUCCUUGACAACAAAAAUAUAUUCCCUGAAUCAGGUUUGAUUCGCUAUCACCAAAUAUAAAGCCAAACUACAUAUUUUUUUGUGAAUGAUCAUGUUGAGGAACCCCAACAUUAAUACCAUACCUCCUAGUAAAUCCUGUUUGGACAAACAUCAUAGCAGGCAGAUAACUUUAAUAAUGAACUACACAUUACAUGUAUCUAUAUGGUCAGGUUCACAUUUUUGCACAAUUAUUUGUUCUAUGCUUUAGUAUUAUCACAUAUUAUGCAGCUCUUUCUCAUUUUCCCAUUAAUGUCCUGGAGAAAUCAUUAGCAGUUAAAGUUAAAAUUUAUUUCAGACUUCAGAAAUAUACUUCCAGUACUUCGUAUAUCUAUACAUAUUGUGAUUAAUUUAAAGUUGGAUCAUACUAAUAGAAUCUGGAUCACAGGUUUUGAAGCUGGGGGCCAAAACAUCCCCUCAAAUAUUGAUCCUUGGUCUAAAAUUGGGGAUGAUUCAUCUGUUAUUCUAUCAACAGAUCGCUCAUCAUGUUUUGAUCGUAAUAAAAUUGCACUUCAUAUGGAGGUACUUUGUGACAGCGAAGGUCCUAAAAUCUGUCCUACUGGUGGAGUUGGUAUAUAUAAUCCAGGAUUCUGGGGGAUGGUAAUUCCUUAAUCUUGACAGUGAGUUUUGUUUGGCAUAUUAGUAAACGUCAAUGGGGUAUCUUGAGUCCCUUCUGUCUUUGGAAAUAUGGGUUAAACCAUGUCUUACUUAUUUCAAUCGAGCCUUUCGUAUACUGGUUUUAUUUUCAAUUGUUAUAUGAGCAGAACCAUCUUUUUGAGACAUGUUAAUGAAUUCUUAACUGAUUCCAAGUAUGCAUCGUACUACAUUUAGCAAGGACCAACCUUUGAUUCUUUGUGAUGUGUUCUUACAAGUCACUGCAAUUUUUCUAUGUGAACUGACUAAAUUCUUUGCCAUUCUAAAUUUCUGACCCUUUUAUCAUGCAGAAUAUUGAAGAAGGGAAGAACUAUAAACUGGUUCUGCAUGUCCGUUCCUUGAAUGCAAUUAAUGUAUCUGCAUCUCUAACCGACUCAACUGGAUCACAGACACUGGCUUCAGCUAAAAUUUUGUGCGUACAUAAUCAUUUCAAAUGGUUUUGCAUAUCCAAGAAUGAUAUAAACUCUAGCAUAGGACUAAGUUGCUAUUUUUUGCAGAGCUUCUGAUGUCUCAAAUUGGACAAAGUUGGAGGUAUUAUUAGAAGCAAAAGCAACGAAUCAUAAUUCAAGAUUGCAGUUGACAACCACCCAGAAAGGAGUUAUAUGGUUUGAUCAAGUGUCAUUAAUGCCAUUGGACACAUACAAGGUAUGUGAUCAUUUAAAUAAAUACCAUCCAAUUAAUGGUCACAGAAAGUUAUAUCACACUAAAAGGCCUUAUAUAAUAAUAUUUGACAACCCUUUUUUCUGCACAGGGACAUGGUUUCCGAAAUGAUCUUUUCAAAAUGGUAGCAGACAUGAAACCAGGUUUUAUCAGAUUUCCAGGUGAUUAUACAUUUUACAUGAUCUGCCUUUUCAUGUUUUCUUUGACAUUUCCUUGCCGUUUCGUGUUUUCUGUAGAAUGUAAUGCGAGCAUUUGCAUAUAGACUGUGUAUAAAUUUCAAUUUGCAUUCCUUCAGGUGGUUGUUUCGUGGAAGGUGAAUGGUUAAGAAAUGCUUUUCGCUGGAAAGAUACUGUAGGUCCAUGGGCAGAGAGGCCUGGACACUUUGGUGAUGUUUGGAACUAUUGGACUGAUGAUGGACUUGGGCACUUGGAGUUCUUUCAGGUUCCAUCAUAUUACCUUUGGUUAAUGCCUAAUGUUAGUUGGUUGAAAAAUAUAUUCGCCUGGGGUCAAUUUUUAUAAUAUAUAUUUUUUGUAGCUGGCUGAAGACUUGGGUGCUGAACCAAUAUGGGUAUUUAACAAUGGUAGUUUGCAUAUUCUUUCACCAUUAAAAAAGUAUAUCUUAAUGUGUAAACUGUGUUUGUAUUUCUCCUUCAUUUAUGGUGCCUUUAUCAAUCCACAGGAAUUAGCCAUCAGGACGAAGUUGAGACAUCCAACAUUUCACCUUUUAUUCAAGUAAGUCUCCUGCCUCUGCCUGAUCCAUCCAAGUUCCAGCAAACUUUAACUAGAUGCUUUAUUGCUUUAUACUUCAGUAAAUUAGUGCGAUCCAUAAAGGAUGUGGACUUACAACUUCAUACAGACUCCGUGUAAUUAGUCUGAUUUACAAUAGUUGACUACAGUCCUUGUCCUAAUCUUUAAUUAAGGUGGUAUGAUUAAACUAUCUUGUAUUAGUAUCAUGUUUCUGUUUUAUACAUCUUUGACCACAUAGACAGAAAAUAAACUUAUCAUUAUAGUAAUCGAGUUAGAACUAUUGAAACAACUCAAUAUUUUGCAAACUUUAAUUAGUCCUUGUGGUGGUAAUGACAACAUAUGUUGUCAGGAAAUACUUGAUGGUCUUGAGUUUGCUAAAGGUGAUGCGAGUACAACCUGGGGUUCUGUCCGAGCUGCAAUGGGACAUCCAGCACCUUUUGACUUGAAAUAUGUUGCUAUCGGAAAUGAGGACUGUGGCAAGAAG